GCUUGCUAUCAUCGCUCAGUAGAUUACUGAUUCUUUGUCAACGUUUCUUUUAUCCGGGGGGUUGGCUCACAGGCACUUAAUCUGACUUGUUAUCAAUUCUUAAUUUUCUCAGAAGUUUGGUACACUUUCAAACGUGCAGUAAAUGUUUUUUUUUUUUUUUGUCAUCAGUUGGAUCGACAUGAUCCCAUCUAUAAUCAACCUUACAAUGCGAAGAACGCGACUUAGUGGAAUUAAAUUCCGGUGAAGAAAACCGCAGAUUUGAACAUUUAACCACUUAAUUAAAGAUACUUUCUCACGUGUUUUCAACCUUUUAAAUUGUGAUAAUAUACCAAAAUAAUACAUAUGCAUCCUUAAUGCUCAAAAGCAUAUGGCUACACCAAAAAAAAAAACUAUAAGAUCAAAUUAUAUGGAAAAUGCUCAAACUCAUGCUCUUGAUAAAGAAAUCAUAUUAGUUAAAAGAUCAAAAACAAGCAAUAAGUCAUAAUAACAUUGUCUUUCUUCGAAGAACUCCUGAAUAUGAAAAUAAUCACUAUAACGACCAUAUAUGACGACAGAUUGAGAACACAUAAUCUCCCGCUAAUUUCAAUUGUAAUAUGGUGAGAGAUUGAAAACGACAUCAAAUCACGUAGCAUGUAUCAGAAAAUGGCGCCGGAUUUUUCUUCGUUGUCGUCCUCCGUGAAUUUUCAACUAUCAAUCGUGACCUUUUGAUUUAUAGUAUUAAUUUACGUUAAGAAUCAUCUUUCUAUCAUGAUUUAUAGUAUGGGUCAUGUGUGAAAAGGUACUUCAAUGUAAAUAACUAAAUAUUGAUCAUAGAUAUGUAGUUAGUUAUAUAUGUGGGGAUUCAAAAUUAAUUACAGUGAAACCUCUAUAAAUUAAUAAUUUUAGGACUACACCAAAAUUAUAUUUUUUUAAAUUAAUUUAUAGAGAUAUUAAUUUAUCGAUAUACUAAUUAAACCAAAAACUCAAUUUGAGACUAUAAAAUUAUAUUAUUUUAUACAGAUUUUUAGUGUAUAUUAAUUUAUAGAGUAUUAAUUUAAAGAAGUUAUACUGUACUAUGUUCGGAUGUAUCCAGGAGAACAAUGUGAUGAAUUACUAUAACCGGUACAAGUAGUUCACAUGUCAGUAUUUUGUACUCCCUCUGUAUCAAAAUAAGUGGGUUUUAAAGUUUUUGCACACCGAUUAAGGAAUUGCAACAUUUUAUUCAAUUUUUCUCGUUUGUAUAAAAACAACAUUAAAUACAAAUGAUUCAACCAAUAAAAAAUCAUAGUGCAGAAUACAAAUAGUCAAAAAUAUAAAAUUGCAUUUACUUUUUACAUAGAAACUUGAAAAUAUCACUUAAAUUAAAACAAAAUUUUUUUUCUUAAAACAUACGGAGGGAGUAUGAUUUAUUAUCAGAAAUAUCAACACAUUAACAUUAAUGUAAUGCUUUCGUAGUUUAGAAAGAGUUCCAUGCGUUUCAGUAAAUUGUUUAUUUUAUCUUCUUUUUUGUUAAUUUACGUCAAAGGUCGAUCCUGAGAUUUUGGAGGCAUGUGGCUGUGUCUAGGUAAAAAUUUUUUUUUACAAAUUCGGAAGCCUAAUAAUUUUUUUUGGAAACCUAUUCAUAUGUAAUUUUUUCAAAAAAUUUGGGAACCUGUUGCGAAUGUUUCACUCAACAUGGCCCAGGACCGGCCAUGCGUCAAAUUGUACACACUUGUUAUAUAACAUAAUUUUCUCGAGUAUAAACCACAGAUAACGGUGAAUAUGGUGAGAAGCUUAAAAACUAGGCCAAAAGUCAGUCAUUGGCAAACUAUUAUCUCCUGUUUAUGCUAGUAUAAAACCCAAGUAUAAGGUCGCUAGCCCAACUACUUUUCUCUUUGAACCAUAGUAUUUGUAUCGAACAAAAUAAAUAUAUAAAUACUUUUUGUGUCUUUAGUUUUUUUUUUUUGCUAACAUUUGUGUCUUUAGUUGAAGUACCAUGUGAAGAAUGGCUGACAAACUGCUUUAUAACAAAACUUCAGAGGUUCGUGAAUUGUCAGGAUCACAUCAGUUUAAAAUACAAUAAUACAAAAGUUGGAUAAAGAAUUGAGUAUUCCAAAAAAAGCCAGUGCAUGUGGGUGAUCAUAGAGCAUAGUGAAUAAUUGAAUUGAGCCGUUUGAUCCUAGGACUUGGAGGAGAGAUUCGUACGCUUGAGUGAGUCCUUCCUUCCUGGAGGAGCUAUAGCCUGAGUAGAGUUUCGCACACUACUAGGACCCACCUCGUCACAUGAUCUAACGUGGAGAUUGUUGAACACGUGUCCGAUGCAUAUUCGUUUAAGUUAAGAACUACUUACAUGUCAGUAAGAGAGAACCGAUCCCGAGGCAAAGCCACGUGAUUUGUUGAAUGAUAUAAUUGUUUUCAUGCAAAUUGGCGCUUCUAAUCUUCUUUGUUUCACUUUUAAAAAAUCAGUCUACAUGCAAUCACUACUUAGGCAAGAAUCGAUAAUAAUGGAUUUGAUCUAAAAAAACAAAUCGGUUUAAACAAACUAAACCGAUUUUAAUUGGUUAAAUCAAAUAAUAUAAAAUUAAUUUAGUUAUAUCAUCUUACUACCAGUUCGUUUAAAUCAAGUGUAGAUUUUUUUUCUUCCAGUUUUGUGUAUUUAGAGUAAACUCACAAGUUUAUCUAGCUUUUUUACAUAUCUAGUUUUUUAAAUAACUAAAUAAAUAAAUGAUUCAUGAACUUUAGUCUAUCUAAACCCCAAAUAAUAUGGGUAGGCGUAAAUCUUAUACAAGAUGUGUAGUCCUUGUCUAACAAUUUCUUGAAUAUUAAUUAAAAUACGCUAAACCGUGUUUUGGUAAUCUUGAAAAUGUGCGUGGGGCCAAUCUCAAUGGUAUCUUCUCACGUAUUUUAGACAAAGGUGGGUCCUAACGAAAACAUGGGUUCUUACUUGCUCGCAAGUCACCCGCGCCUUCACCUGUUCUCCCGUGCACAUGCUAGUUGUUAACCCUCCACCGACUAGAUACGCAUACGGUCUCAUUGAUUUUGUAUAAUAUACGUUAUCGUAUACCGUCAACCGUACAAAUAAUGUUUAAAUACUAACCCCUAUUCCGCCAACAUUUCUUAUCCCGCUUAUUCAUACUAUAAAUUAUGUAGAUCAUCAUGUGUCACGGAUUUGUAUUAUUACUCUCUUGUGCUAGAGGUGGCAAUUUAUUUAAUAUUUAUAUAUAGAUGGGAUAUGGACACAUCUAAGUGUAACUUUAUAUAGUCAUGUUACUUGGUGAGAUCAUAUAAAGAAACGCUCGCAUCUUCACAAGUGUGUCUUCAUCUCAAGAGGCGUUCUUCCGAGUAGUGGACCGUGCCAUGAGAGAUAGGCUGCUUUCACUAUCUCGUCCUUCAUCCGCGGCUCAUCAUCCUUCUUUGUUGGAGUUGUACUUUUGGUUCCUUACCCCUUAUAGUUAAUCCUUCUCUCUUUAUAUUGCUCUCUCCCUUGCUCCUUUUCUUUCUUUGUAAUAAGUUGUGCUUCACAACAUUGUAAACUCUAAAAAAAUGGUAUAAAUCUUAACAUUUACACCAAAAAAAAAAAAUCAUAUAAAGAAACCUUUUGAGAAGUUUAGCCUUUUCCAAUAACAAAGCAAAUAACUAGGCUAAUACUAUAAAAUUGAGAUUUCAACUCUAAAAUAAAUUCAUUAAGGAUAUAUAUCCUACAUCGGAAAUUCUAAAGGACAUUAAUAAUAUAUAAAGGAUUAUGACCAAUUCAUUAAUUGCCAAUUAAUUUUAAGUUGGAAACUCAGGAAACUUAUCAGCUGAUUCGGAUUGAAGAUUUUUUUCUAUUUUUAGAUGAUAACUAUAUUCAGGUUUAAUUCAUAAGUCCUACCACACUCAAAAUGGCGUUUCGUAAACCACUUACCUAAUUAUUCAUACAUGCGUUUUCGUUAUUUUACUGGAACCAACAAAUUAGUUGGUCAGAGAAAAUAGCGUUUUGUAAGCAAAUCUACUCGUUUUAAUCAAUAUUUGUUGAGGUGUCUUAAUCAAUUUAAGAUUAGUGAUCGAAAUACAUAAGUGAAAGCUUUUUCUUCUGUGCCGGAAGUUAUGCGAACAUUUUGGUCCCGACCAUGGGCUGAGGUUCAAACUGUCAAUAGCACAAUAUGAAUGAAUUUGAAUAAAUAAAAUCUUACUAUUCUGCUAUAAUGCAUGAAAUGAUCUCAACAUAUAACCACUGACUAGAUGAUAUGUAUUAUAUAUAUAGUACACGUCUUUAUAUGUAUAUAGUUACAUAUAUAAACACAUUCAUGAUAUAGCUUUUGUCAUUUACAGAGUAAUGUGGAGAGAAGUCUUUUAGAAGAAAAUGAUCAUGUAUGGAGUGAAGUCCAAGUUAGUUACUGCAAAAUCUAUACUAAAAAGAAGAAGAAAAUUAUAAGAGAGUGGAAAAAGUAGAGCCUUAGAAAAUCAGCAUUAAAUUAAAUUGGUAGGUACUAUAAAUAAUCCUUUAAAAUUUCUUUAUGAAAGAGUGUGCUUGAAGUAACGAAGCUAAGAGUAUGGUUGAAGUUAGCUGUCCCAAGUUAGCUAAAGAAGAUAAUCUCAAAGAAAAUCUCAUUAGAUAUAUAUGUUUAAGAAUGUUGAGUUCAAAGGCUUUGGAUUCAUUGUGACUUCGGUUUUUGGUGACUACGUACAUUGUUCUCCACAAAACUAGCCAUGAUUUUAAGUUAUCUGUUGCUAACCUAUUAAGUUUAUAUGUUUCUUUAUAUAAUUUCUUAUCAUCAUUGUUCAGUAAGACAAAAACACUUAGAAACAAAUUCUAAUGAUGGUAUCUACCAGAUGAAAAUGAUUAGAUCUUUUAUUAUCAUUUUAAUUAAUUUGAAGAUACCUUAACCAUAUAUAUACAUUACGGUAAUCACGAUGGUCUAAUAUUUAUCACUGAUAAGAAAGAAAGAAAUAAAGUUGACCUAGGUUUCCUAAAGCCUAUGUAAUAAGUAUACUUGUAAUAUACGGUAUUUAGAAAGCCUUUACUUUUACUUUGCAAGUUUGCAACACGUAGUUUGUGGCAUAAACAAUGGGAAGAAAAUUAGCAAAAAAAAAAGAGAAUAAUAAAUAAGAUAAUUAUCUAAAUAUAAAAUUGGAAUUACAUGUACGUGUAAAAGUCGUAUAAUUCCUUCGUGCUAUUUCACCUUCCCAUUAUCUCAUUGACUUUUCUUAUAAACCGGUAGGAGCAAAACCAUGACUUGGACUAGAACUUUAUACGCGUUAUGAUUUAUUUAUUUUUUCAUAUAAAAUCAAUUCUUUACUUAAAUGACAAUUCUUUUUGAAUUGGUUUAUGACAAUUAUAUAAUAGUAUAGUUUUUCUUACGUUACAACAACAUAAAUAACCUUUGUUGAAAACAAAGUGUAACUUUAAUUUUUUUUUUGUAACAAGUGUAACUUUAAUUUAAACCAUCUUUUUAAAAAACCAUCAUUUUCCUUAAUAAGUUAUACUCAAUCCAUUGUUUCUCAAACAAAUACAACUUUUGUACAGCUAAGCAAGGUUUGUGAAUAAAUCAUCUUUGGUGAGAAAUGGAACCCACAUGAGGGAGGUGAGAUUAAGAUAUUAUUGUUUCAUAAAUUUUAUGAAAUUGUUUAGAGAGAGAAAGAGACUUCCACAUGAAGACAGAGUAAGGGAUGGUAAAAUACAGCUAGCAGCAAAAGCUAAGAGAGAGAGAGAAGAAGAAGUGUUUCUCUCACACCUAACUCUUUAUAAUAAUAAGGGGAAGCUAUUGCUCUCCAUUACUAACCCAUUUUCCCAAUCAAUCACUCUUCACUUCUCCCCACUCCUACUCCUUUUUCUCCUUUCUAAGCAAUCUCCCUCCCUCUCCUUAUAUUCUCAAAUUUGAUUCUCUCUCUCUCAUACCUGCACACCACUACCAACAGAGGUUUGAAUUCUCUCUGUAACUCUGUUUCCACUCCCGUUCUUGAUUUUGGUUUUUGCUUUUCUUGGUUAUGAAAUGGAGUUUUAGGAUUCUUUGGUGUUCAAAUUGAGGUUUUGAGGAGUUUAUGAAGUGUCGGUGGUACAAUUUUCUGGUUUGAGUUUUGUUUGUACUCUGUUUUGGUAAAGAACAUUCAAAUUUUGUUCCUUUUUUUUGUGUUUCACACAGCAACAAUUCUAGAAAAGAGAGAUAAAUCAAGAAUGCUUAACUAACGGUGACUUUUGACUUUUAGACCCAUUGGGUCUAUUGCAAUUGAAUUUGUGCUUAGAAUUGUCUUCAUUAUUUCUGUAACCCACCCAAAAAAGGGUGGGCCAAAGCAUGUUCAUUUUCAAAUUUUGGUUUUUAAGAUGGUUCCAAAAUUUUGAAAACUUUUGAGAAACUUCCUUACUGUUCAAAACUCUUGUCAUGUUCCUCUCAGUAUAUUCAUUACCUCAUCUCUCAUUUUUUUAUUUUAAUCAUCAAUUGUGCUUUUAUUUCUUUCUGUCCAGCUAAAUUGCUAAACUGCAAAAAAAGAAGAUGUUUGGACAAAGCUUCCCGGAGGAUAUUGAUUGUGGCAACUUCUUUGACAACAUGGACGACAUUCUUGACUUUCCCGGUUGUGAUAUGGAUGUCGGUUUCAACAUCGGUGACUCCGACCCUUUCCCUAACAUCUGGACCAAUCAUCAGGACACAUGGCCCGCCGCUUCUGACCCUCUCUUCUCUUCCAACACAAACUCUGACUCAUCACCUGAGCUCUAUGUUCCGGUCAGUUUCUACACUAACCUAAUAACCCUUGUUUAUAUUUUUUGUAUUUCCUCGGUUUCCUUUAAUUGAUAUUUAAUGUUAAUAUCCACCGAUUGAAAUAUAUAAAUGUUAUUUACAACAAAAUAUUAUUAAAAAAAAUGAAUUCAACCAGUAAAAAUAAUGUAGUAUGUAGUCACGCAGUUCAAAAAAGUAAAUUAAUCACAAAUAUCAAAUAUUGUUAAAAAUGUUUAGAACAGUGAAAACAUUAUCUAUUUCGUGACCAAAAUAUUCUUACUUAAACAUCAAAUAAACUAAUAUAGAUGAAGUAUAUAAUUCCAGCAUAAUUGUCUAACAAUGUUUAUAUAUUGGUUUGUGGGAAAUUUGCAGUUUGAAGAUAUUGUUAAGGUGGAAAGGCCAGCAAGCUUUGUAGAGGAGUCUUUGGUCGCGAAGAAGGAAGAUUCGUUUUCCACAAACACGGACUCAUCUUCUUCUCACAGCCAGUUCAGGAGCUCAAGUCCAGUGUCGGUACUCGAAAGCAGCUCCUCAUCGUCUCAAACCACCAACGCAACCUCACUUGUCCUCUCUGGAAAGCACGGUCGUCCACGCACAAAACGCCCUCGCCCACCGGUUCAGGAGAUGGACAGAGUCAAUGUUUGCGGGGCGGAUUCGCGUCUCAUCGUUAGAAUACCAAAGCAGUUUCUCUCUGACCACAGCAAGAUGAUCACCAAGAAGAAGAAGAAGAAGGCCAAGGUUACUUCUUCCUAUUCUUCGUCGGGGAUUGAUCUUGAAACCAACGGAAGCAACAACAACAACAACGUUGAUUCAUAUGAUUCAGAGCAGCAUCCGGUUAGGAAAUGUAUGCACUGUGAGGUCACCAAGACUCCACAGUGGAGGCUUGGGCCUAUGGGUCCAAAGACGCUUUGCAACGCGUGUGGCGUGCGUUACAAGUCUGGAAGGCUUUUCCCGGAGUACCGUCCAGCUAAUAGUCCAACAUUCACUCCAGCUCUUCACUCGAACUCACACAAGAAGGUGGCUGAAAUGAGAAGCAAGAGAUGCAGCGGUGGAAGCUACACAAACGAAGAGAGUAAUCUGCAAGAUUUGAUUCCGAACAAUGCCUACAUUGGUGUGGAUUAAGAUCGAGAAAAGAUGGUUCAGUUUCCAAGCGUUGAAGUGAUUAGAGUUGCGAGGAGUAGGAAAGAGUCAGUGAGCAGAAAAGUUUUAGCUUUAGAAGAGAUGAAUGAAGAGGAGAGGAUCAAGAGUUAGAUGGAAAAUGAUUGUGUUUGUAUUUUGUAUUUGUAGUGUGUAUGUGCAAAACUCUUGAACACAAAAGAAGAGCAGAAGAUUUUGAAGACACUAGAGAACGUUAGGUUUUACAUUAAAUCUUCCUCUCCUUUUCUUCUUUCAAUUCUUUGUAUUUUUACUGUGAGGAUUCUUUUUGUAGUUGAUUUGUUUAUUUUUUUGUUUUUGUUAAAAUUUUAUUUUAUUCAUUAGCUGCACCUGCACCUCCGAUACAUUGCUAUUUUUGUCUCUAUCAUUUAGAGUUAAUUUCAUUUUAAUUCAUUGCUAUUUUUUCUUCUAAGAUGGAGAUUACUAUUUUUUCCUUCUAAAUAUAAGAGAAGAAAUAUCAAUCUCUAUUUUUCACUCUAUAUUUUGAAGAUUGCUAUUAGGCCUGGCCAUUCGGGUUUUCGCGUCGGAUUCGGACCGGUUCUUUUCGGGUUUUAAAUAUUUAGACCCAAUAGGUACUUAGAAACUUUCGGUUCGGGUUCGGAUCCGGGUCGGUUCGGAUCUAUAAUUAAAAUACCCAUAAAAUACCCGUAAUUUUUUGGAUCCAGGUCGGAUUCAGGUAUUUAAGAUGUGAAAAGGACAUGACAUACCUAAUUUCAUCAAAAUUAGUUGAUAUUUAUCAUAUAUAUCUAAAAUUUUACAAAACAAUUUAAAUAAAACUAUUAAUAACUAAAAUAAAAUAUUUUUAAAUUCUAAAUUUUACAUUUUAAAUCUUCAUAUUACUUAAAAAAUGUUACAAAAUAAUAACAAAUAUUGUUAAAAAAUAUAUUUUAACUAAAUCAUAAAAUAAUAUUAUAUAAAAUAGAGCACAAAAACAUCAUAGUUUUAGAUAUACAUGUUUUUAAGUCAUGUACAAAUCGGUUCUUAUCGGAUCGGUUCUUUUUGGGUCCGGGUCUAUUCAGGUCAGUUUCUUUCGGAUAAAAAAAUUUAGAUCCAAAAGAUACUUGUAAAUUUUCGGUCCGAUUCUGGAUCGAAUAUUUUUGGAUCGGUUAUGGUUCAGGUUUUUGGAUCCAUAUUAAAAUGUCCAGGUCUAAUUGCUAUUAUAGAAUAAUAUAUUGAAGCAAACUCUAUCUCUAUUAUAAAAUUUUUUUAUUUUAGAAGAAAAUAUAUCAAAAUACAUUGAAAAUGGUCCAAGUACACGGUAUUUUCUUGCCAACAAACUGAGUACUAGUAGGCAUUUUUAAAAAUAUUCGUCGAACCGUCAAUAACAUCAUCAUAAUUGAGUAGACAUUUUUGAAAAACUGGUCAAACCGUCAAUUACAUCAUCAUAUAAUUUACAUUUAUAUUAUAAAUAAUCAUUAACUAUUUGUAACAUAUGUAUAUGUGAUAUUAAUGAAAAACGAUUCCGCGACGUAAUUCUUACUAUAACUUUUUCUACAUAUAUUUAAACUGUGUUUAUGAUUGGUUAGUCUUUUAUUGCUUGUUAGAGGUUUAGUGGUUAAGUUAGUGUUGCUUUUUAAUCAGUGGUAGUUAUGAGAUAAUCAACAAUGUAAAUUAAAUGUAGAUAGAUAGUUAAACAACCAAUAUCUUUCAUAUAAAGACUUGAUAGACUAUCUCUUACGUAAAAAUCCAUCUUUGAUGCCAAUUUAAGUUGAGUAAUAAGAGUGUUUCUUAAUUAAGCAACCUUCCCAAAUAUCUUUUCAUAUUAACACUCUUUCCCUCUCUCUCUCUUUUUUUAAUGGGUUCUUCAUCUUACAUAAGUAUUAAAAAUGUUUUUCAGGAUAUUUAAUUUGUUGUUGUUAUCUUAGUCUCCCUUUCUUAGGGUUAAUUGUUGAAAAUAACUUGUUCUUGCUGGCUUUGUCUUCUACAAAUGCAUUCUUCCAUGUAAUUUUCCCUGAAGUAUAUAAUUCUAGUGUAAAAAAAACAAUGAGCGAAGGUGACUAGAAUCAUCGCCUGAUAAGUAGUGGACAAUUAAAGAAAAUUUUUGUAUUGGCCGACGCCAAAUAAUCACCUCGAUUGGACAACAUAUACUUCUUGAUGAUUCAUGAUUUUAAUAAAUUCACCAGACAUAUUUAUUCUUUCUCUUUUGUCUUUUAAUUGUUUUUAUUUAGUUUCUCUCAUUUUUUCUGUGAGGGGUCUCUUCUGCGUUUUGAAUUUCAAAUAUUUGAUUUUCAAUCACAAAAUUUCUCUUUAUGAUAUUUAUUGCAAAUGUCAGAUUAUCUCUUUACACUUUGAUGAAACAGUGCUUUCUGAGUAUUUGAAGGAUUCUAUUUGCGUUUUUGGUUCAUGUAUAUUUUGAUUCUUGAUAAAUGUUAAAGUCUUUUUUUUUUUGCUAAAAUGUUAAAGUCGUAACGUUUAUUUGUAAAAUGUGGUAUUGAAUCCAAGAAGCUUGUGGUUUUCUAUGUUGAAGUAAGGAGGCUUUUGAUACAAGUAUUGGAACUUUAAAUGUAAGAUAAGGACCUUGGAACUUUCAUAGUUGAUAUAGACCUCAGAGGUCGUUUUGCAUGUUUAAGGAUGAUCUCUUUAGAGCACAAAAAAAAAGGAUGAUCUCAUUAUCAGUAACACUGAAUUCGAUAAACACCACCUUCAACUCAGGCUCCUGUAGAACUUUGCUACGAUUCGAAAUGAUGUCGUGUGUUUCAUGAACCCAAAACAUUUUGGUUGGUUUUUUCAGGUGGAUUAGAUGCUAUCAGGCCCAUUAUCAUAUCCUGCUCAAAACAUCUUGAUUUAGCGAGAUCUUUGUCACUUCACGAAGCAUACACUAGAGGUGAUAGUUUCCGUCUCACAAUCUCACAGAUGGUUUCCAAAAAAGUAGUUGCAGACAAAGUUUAUGUGAAAAAUUUAUCAGUUCAGUACAAGGAAAGAUUCUCAACACACGGGUUCUCUUUAUCAAUUAGCUGUUGCAUUUUUUUUUAUUGCAUCGAGUCCGAAGACAAGUUACUCCCUGAAUGAUAGAUUGGGUCACCCACCAUCUUGCAAACCGUUGUAACAUGUUUUUCUUUAUCUUAGACAACUCGAACAUGUUUUCACAUAUAUGUAUACUUAUCUCGUAUUACAUCAACUAGGCAAAGAACCCGUGCGAUAUCGCACGGACACUCAUUUUAUAAAAAUAAUAUUAUAUAAAAUUCAUUUUUAUAAAAUAACUUUUAUAAACAUUUUUUACAAUUACUUUUGAGGAAUACAUAUGUUACAAAAUUUCUCGCAUGCAACUAUGUUUCUUUAUUGAAAAUACUAAAAACUAUAUUUCUUUAUUGGUAAUACUAAAAACUAUGUUUUAUUUAUAGGUUUGGUUGUAAUAAAUUUAUAAACAUGUAAAUACCAAAUAAGAUAUAUGUCUUUUAGUUCAUUUAUUUAAAAAUCUCUAUUUGAAUCUAAUUAAAAAGCAAACACAUUCCAGUCUAAUUUUUUACUAAAUUAGUAAGUUAACUUACAAUGAAAAGUAAAAUAUUCAUGAUUUUUCUUUCGAAACCAUGUCAGACGUGUGCAGUCGAAAACAUUACUAUAUGACAAUUUUAAGAUAUAUUAUCCCUUAACAUAUUCUUCUUAGUAUAUCAUCCAUAUUUUCUGUUUUAUUAGACGUUCUUAAAAAAUCAAACUGGCAUUAAAAACUAAUUAAAAUUCAAUUUAAAAUGAAAAUAGAUUUUAAACCUUCAAUAUAAUUUCGAGUUCUCAGUCAAACUUAUUCAUUAUAUGUAUAUUCUAUAAAUAAAAAUUCCCAAAAAAAUGCAUGCUUACAAAUUAAGAAGCAGAUUUUGGUAUAAUUACAAUGUGUAUACUGAUACACAAAAAAUAUUUAUUUUAUAAGAUUAUGUAUUAUAAGAAAUAUUAAAAAAAUUGUAACGACUUAAAAAUAAAUAAAAAACGAUUCUUAAUUAUUCACAAAUUUUAAAAUCUUUAUAUCUCUUUGUUGACUAAUCUGCUGACAAAAAAAAGACUAAUAUACAGUUCCAAAUUCUUAACUAAUUAAAAUUCAUUUUAAAAUGAAAAUAGAUUUUAAACCUUCAACAUAAUUUUGAGUUCUCAGUUAAACUUAUUCAUUAUAUGUAUAUUCUAUAAAGAAAAAUUCCCAAAAAAAAUGCAUGUUUACAAAUUAAGAAGCAGAUUUUGGUAUAAUUACAAUGUGUAUACUGAUACAUAAAAAAUAUUUAUUUUAUAAGAUUAUAUAUUAUAAGAAAUAUUAAAAAAAUAUUGUAACGACUUAAAAAUAAAUUAAAAUCGAUUCUUAAUAAUUAAAAAAUUUUAAAAUCUUUAUAUCUCUUUGUUGACUAAUUUGCUGACAAAAAAAAGAUUAAUAUACAGUUCCAAAUUCAUUACUUGAACUGUUGAAAACAUUUACUAAAUUACCGCACAUAAUAUCUUUUGGUAGUUCUUAUUUAAAUUUAAUAGUCUGGAAAUUUUGAAAUCAAAUAAAUCAUUUGUAAGCUCUAUCAUGUUUUUCCAAAAGGUGUGACAAAAAAUUUAUAAUGGCUCAAACAUAACUACAAAAUUUUCAGUUUAAUGAUUUACUGAAAUAUGUCAAUAUAUUUAUUUCCAUUAAAUAUUUGAAGAAAGACUUUAAUUAUAAAUGUAUCAAAAUUAUUCAAACUAUUUGUACUAAAAUCAUUGAUUUCAACACUCUCAUUUAUUAAUGACACAUAAAAAAGCCUUAUCUUCAGAUUCAUCGUCAUAUAAGAAGUCACCAAGAUUAAAAUGAAAUGAGUUCAUCAAUGGUGUUGUGGUGAAGUUUUUGAAGAUCUUAGAUUGUAUUAUAAAUCAGGCCGCAACUUUCAUCCGUUAAUAGGCCAUAACUUAUAUCAAAUUUUGUAACUCUAUGAUUCAUAUUUUGGACUGAGGAGUGAAUCUGCAAAAUAAAAACGAAAGCUAAGUUUAUAAAUCAGUGAAACAAUAAACUGAAAACCUUUAUUUACUGGCGGUAAUUUAUUGAAAUUCUUUGAAUGUGGUCUGAGUUAUCAAAGUAGACACUUUUCUUAAAUUAAACUGUUUUUUUUAAGAAAUAAAAUAUUAUUACCAAACCUGUUGUUUAUAAAUAUGAUAGAAAAACAGAUGAACAUAAAUAAGAAGAAUUUUCUGAGUUCACUUCACAAUUAUAAAGAUAAUGAUUAAUUGCAUACCAUGUGUUGCCACACAAUCCAAAGUAGAAGAUGAUUGCAAAUCUCUUAAAAGAAAGAUCAAAAAAUAAUUAAGAUAAAAAAAAAAUUAAUAAUAAUUAAGAUCGUUUUAAAGAAGUAAAGAUGAAGAUGUAAUCUAUCCUAUACUAAAAGGAGCAAAUAAAGCCCUCUUAAGGCCUCCACGUCAGACUGAAAAUUCAGCCAAUCACGUUGCAGCAUUUCCUCCACGUCAGACAAUAGACUCGCGGUUUGGGCUUUUGUGGUCUUUGGUUUUGUAGUUCGAGUUCCAUGCUCUGCACCGAUGAUCGAUUUGUUCUUCACAAACAAACGAUCGAUGGUCAAUUGACUUUCACGAUGUGGAGUGAAACGAAUCGUCAUGGAAAAUCUCUUGAGUUAAAUUUCCAUUGCGUCGUUUUGUAUUUCCUUUAAUUAAUGUAAAUGUCUUCAUCUUCUAUAUUUUCUCUCUCAGACCUUCAAACUCUGCAACAAUGGAUUCCACGGACUCUCAUAUCCUCCCAAUCUCCACUUCCCAAACCGUUCCCUCCGCCGCUCCUUCUUUCGUAGAAUCUCAACCACAUCGUAACCCAUGUGUUCUCGCCUUCAUCAACCGAGUUUCAGAAACUGUCACAAUCGGAUCUUUGUGCUUUUCCUCACUGAUGUUGGAUCUUUUGUCUCGGCUGUUAUGGUCGGAAUCGGUCUUCCUUUUGUUUUUUCUUCAUCGUUUGUUUAUUUUUAAGUUUAAGAGUCAGAAAAUCUCAUUUUGGUUAAUUUUUGCUUGAUUCCUGGAUUGCUGAUAUAAGCUGUGAAUUGAAAUCUAGGGUUAGCUUCCCUGAAAAUAUAUGGAUUCUUUAGAUAGUUUUUUGUUCCUCUAUUGAAGAAUAGCAUGGCUGUAUAUGUUUAUUGACAACAUAUGCUACUGUUUUAGGUUCCCUUUGGUAAAAUUGUCCGAUGUAGGAGUGUUCGGGUAACGAUCAAUGAUCUCUAUCUUUUCGAUCCUCAUUGUUUAACCUAUCUGGAUAUUUUGUUUCAUGCCCUAAUUGUGUAUAGCAAUAUGUGCUUUAAAAGAAGUCACUUGCAGUGGAAGUUUGAGUUCAGGCUGGAUGCAAAUUUAAUCAAAUAAGAUAUAUAUUUUUCUCUGCAGGGAAAGAGUUUGUUUACCUCGUGAAAAAAAAACAAAUGAUCGGUUGACCGGAUGGGUUCUGCAUCGACGGUUCUACACUGGGUGCAUGAGAAUCUGAGCAAGAUAGAUGAAAAGAGUCUCUCUUUCUGCAGCCGGAGAUGGUUGUAUUGCAAAGGUAACUUCCACCAAGGAAGCCCAUUUAUUCAUUCAUAUAGAGAAAAAAAAUUUCAUAGGCUACAUCUUUGACCUUAUGAGUCAAACUGUGUACUUCUCAAUCCUAGAUGAUAGAAAAAUGAAGAACCCGAAGUAGCAAGGAAGGUGCGUAUCCAACUUUUUAGUAACCUUUUUCUUAAAGACAUGAGAUACAUUUUGACAUAGAUUGCAAGAACAGAUGUUGAGCUACAAGAACACUUCAACACUGACUCUGUCUUUACUCUUGCUCAUCAAAAAAUUCCUUCCACUACUCCGAUUCUCUUUAUGUAAGCUAUUUUCUUAGUAUUUUUGAGUUUCUUGCUAAUCGUUAUAAAUAUUAUUGAUUAUCCCAUAUUCUCCCAACAUUGUCAUGUUGCGGUACCACCACUCGGAUUAUUAUUUCCCCUUAACCUGCAAUGCUUUCUAUUUUAUUGUUUAUUUUUACUGAUUUUACUGUGUCUUUGUAUUUGAUUCACAUGUAAUAAGAAAAGAGUUUUGGCUACCUGGCUCAGGGCCUGAUUUCGGUGUGCCGCCUUUCUCCGGUAUCAUUGCUGUUAUCCUUUUAAAGAUUUUAUUAGCUCUUCAAGCUUUGUUAGAAACCAACAUGAUCAAAAUCAACCAACCGUGACCAGGAACCAGUUUUUGGCAUCAGCUUAUUUCAAACCCUGAAACUGCAAAGUUUUCUUUUGUCUUGGACUAAUAUUUUCAUGUAAUGACAGUCUUAGCAAUGUGGAUUGCAGCUGCGCUUUGGGAACUUUAAGUUUGUGUAAAGAUCAAGAAGUUGCUUAACUCUAAGCCAAAGCUAAUCUUAAAUUACACAAGCAAAGCCAAGGCUAUCACUUCUCAUUUAGUCCUCUUUUCAGUUUUCAUAUGUAGUGGUUUCGAAGAGAUCAGUGUAUUCAUCUUCUAAGCUGGGAAAAGACUUAUACAAGCUGAACUAAAGAAGUAUGUUCCUCUUAUAGCUCCAGAGGUUUUGAAUGCUUAAGAUAAGGAUGAAAAGAUCUAUGAAGAUGCAUGUGUCUAUGAGCAAGGUUUCCAUGAUAUAUACCAUAGUACGGCUGAGGACAUGAGCCAAGCCAUGAACAAAUAAAUCAUUCUUGAACUGAUGAAACUCUCUUUUUGUUUUUUUUUUAAACAACUUAUCCUUUUCUCAUUUGGAUAGAAAAUAUAUUUUCUCAGCUAAUUUUGGUCUGACAUGCAGACUUGAAAAUGAUAGUCUACAGACGAGAAAGAGCUAUAGGUACUAAGAAAGAAGACAUGAAGGAAAUCUUGUCUUAAGAUUAAGCUAAAGUGAUUCUUUGGUUAAAUCAUUGUCACAUGAAAGAUUAUAUGUUCAUAUUAUAUGCGGUCUUAUAUUUCUUUGUCGGACAUCUAUAUGUCAUUUCAAAUACUAACAAAGUAAAACUUGGAAGCUAGGAGAAAGAUUUUAUAUGCUCUAAUUCAAUAAAGCAUUAACUGUUAUCCAUUAUUUAUGUUUUUCUUAUCUCGACAUGCAUUUGCAAUGUAAACACAAAGUCAAAAUAUUCCAUUACUGAUCUGGGUGAAUGGGCAUCAUAUGUUGUGUUACAAACACUAGUGAUGGAAUAAAAGACACGUGGUUAAAAAUUAUGCAGAUAUAGUAAACAAUCAGCAUUAACUUAAAUAAAAACAAUCAGGAUUAUUAACUUAAAUAAAAACAGUAGAAACGCUUAUUUUUAAAUUUUUAUAAUAUUAUUUGAGAAGUCAGUUUCCUAUAUGUCGCGCUCACGUUACCUCUCAUGGUGGUUGAUUACGAUGAUACCCUUAAUGAAUCAAAUAUAGAUACUGUAAAUAUAAUUAUCAUUAUUAGAUAUUUGUUUUAUUAUAUUUUUCCCUUUUAUAUUGGUUUCCUUUUUCUUUUUCUUUUCGAAUAACCUAUAUAAUCAAGAAAAUUUAUAAAUUUAAAAAAUGGUUAUAUCUUUUAUAUAUAGUGUAAUUCAUAAUAAGGAAAGUUCACAAAAUAAUAUUGAUUUUAAAGUAAAGAAAUAAUCUUCCCUUUUAAAAAUAAUCUUAAACAACAUAAUAUAAAAUAUUAAGCAUUUUAUUUAAAUCAAAUAAUUUAAAAACAUAAACUAAGAUAACUUUAAUGAAGAAAAAUUAAUUUAAUCAUUUUUAUGUUCUCUUUAUAUUUUUCAAGUAACAUAUAUGAUAAAUAAAAUAUUUAAAAAACUUUAAAACGAAAAUAUUUUUUAUAUAAAAAUGAUUGCAUUAGUUUGAAUACAAUAAAUAUGAUUUGGUUGAAUUAGGUUAGAAAUAUUUAUACUUCAGUUGGACAGAAUUCCCUUUCUAUUAUUUGAGGAGAUCAUUUUAAAACAAACAUUAACUUCAUGUGUGAUUUACAACUAUGCCAUUGCUUAGGUGGCAUCCUCACACUCCACUUCAUAGCAUUAUUUUAAAAGUUAGAACAUUAUUUUAAAAGUCCAUCCUUGCCUAGAAUAUUUACCUUUCAUGCCACUAUAAUGUUCAUAUAUUAUAUGCCUCAUCAUUAUAUCUCAUUCGGAAACUGUUUUGAAUAAAUAGUUUCAAAAUAUGUGAAGUUGAAGGACACGUUUACUUAUAUAACUAUAAAUACUUGAAAUAUAUACACUUAAAUAACAAUAAUCCUUGCUUUGUCUACAUAUAUAAUGUCUCUAUCUUCCUCAAGAACAAAACUCUCACCUAUUUCUUGCAGGUCAAAUAGGUAUUUUGAUAUCAAGGUUGUCUAAAUAGUUUUUUUUCCUGCCGUCUAAAUAGUAUAAUCCCUGUUACAAACUUAAUGAUACACGUACAUGGUGGAACACAUGAUUUGUUGUAUUCUUCUUUUUUUGUCAAUGAAUCCUUUUAUUCAAAAGUGCAAGACAAAAGCUUGCUGGGGAAAUAACAACCAGGUACCAGUUUGAGAAAAACAACAAUGAGAAAGCAAAAACCAUCAGUAGAUGCCAAGCAAGAAACCUUCACGGGAAGGAAAAAAAAAGGAUAGAAGCUCAACCCUUCUUUAACUAACACUCCACGUAGGAAGACUCGGUUAUGGCAUCUGAGAGCUUUCCCUCACUUGAGCUCUAAUGGAUUUGUUGUAUUCUUACAAUGUAGAAAAUAAUUAUUAUUUCAACCUUUCGUUCUAAAAAAUUUCGACAUAUUAAGAGGUGCUUGAUUACGUAACUUAAAGUUUAGUCAAAGGUAUCUUCGGAUACACUCAUACACGUAAAUGGUGAAACAUAUGAUUUGAUCCUCCUCUUAAUAUAUAGAAAUACAACAAAUCAUAUGUUGUUUUGGAUGGAGAAACGAUAUACAGAAAUACAAUCAAAUCAUAUGACUUUAUGGCGUCUUUUAAUAUCAAAUCCGAUAAUAUUUUUUUCUUUAAUUUAUUUGAUUUUUUUGCUAAUUUUACGUUUGACCGUAAUUUAUGCAGUAGAUAAAAUUUAGGAAACUGAUAUACACAAUUAGUGCAAUCUGGUUUCGGUUAAUAUAGGAAAGUUAGUAUUAAUUUAUAGACAAUUUUUAUGACCAAUUUAAAAUUAUAUACGAUAUUGUAGGGAUUUUUCCUCUUAAUUUCACCAUGGAAUAUAUUUGAUUGACUCAAUUCUUUGGCCUAAACCCUAUCAGUUAUAACUAUAUAUAUCAUACAUAACUGAUUUGUUUCCUUAGAAUUUGUUCCUUUUAUAUUUUAUUAUUAUGUCACCUAUGUUUCGUUUUAUCUUAUAUUCAUCAUUUAUAUUAUGAAAACAAUAAUUCUAUUGUUUAUGUUUACUUUUAUCUUAAAUUCAUACCUAAUUUUAUAUAAGUCUUUGCUUACUCUUAUAGAUUUAUUUCCACGAACGAUAUUUUUAAUACACCUAACCAAUAAUAUAUUUUACAAUGGGAUAUAGUGUACCACAUUAGACAAUAACGGCUAACAGACAUUUUAAAAUUUCUGUUCAUAAAAAGUAAAGAAAGUUUUUUAAAAAUAGUGUUUGAAGUUUAACAAAAAAAAUAUUAAGGACAUGAAGUAAGAAAAAAAAAACAAAAUCACUAUUUUAAAUGUUUUUACUGGAAAUGAAAAAAUAAUAAGAAAUUAAUGUUUUUGGAUCAUAGUUUUGGUCUAAAAAUAUAUUGAAAACUCCUCUAAUUAGUAUACAAAAAACUCCUCUAAUUAGUAUACAAAAAUUCAUGUUUGAUAACAGCGUAAUAACCUGAUUGUAUUUAAAAAAUAGUAAUUUUAAAUCAACUAAUAUAUAAUAAUAAAAUUUAAAUAAAUUGUGAAUAUAUAUUGAGAAUAUUUUGAUUAUCAUUUUACAUUGAGUUUUAAUCCAGAUUAAUAUUUUAGCUAUAGCUAGAUUGUAAGAUUUGUUUUUGCUUAUAACUAAACAAAUAAUAUAGUAAUAAUAAUUGCUGGAAAAAAUAUAGUAAUAAUAAUAUUUUCAUAGAUUUUUCAGUGUAUUUAACACAUGCAAAAUUUUUAGAAGUUUUUUUAUUUAAAGCAAUGAGUAUUUAAAUAAGCUUUACUUAGUACAGUUGUAAAAAUAGAUUAUAAUAAUAAUAAAAUAUAUUAUAAAAUAUUAAAUAACAUAAAAAUAAAAAAAUAAAUAUGAUAUAAAUAAUACAUAUAACAAAGAAAUAUGUGAUGUGGAGAUUACAAAUAUAUUUUCCUACUAACCUAAAUAUGUAAGAAAAAAUAUUUUGGAUUAAAAAAAAAUUGUAAGUUUUACUCAUUUCUGAUUCAAUUUCUAUUUAUAUUUUUAUAACAUAGAAGUAAUAUAUUUUAAUAUAGUUAUUAAAUACAACAUUAUUUGUAAUAUAGUGUAUGAACUUUAACAAAAAAUAUUAAAGACACGAAGUAAGAAAAAAAACUAAAUCGCUAUUUUUUCAAUGGAAAUUAAAAUAAUGAGUAUGACUGGUAACCAUCGCAAGAACAUUAAGAAUGAAUAAGAAAAUAAUGAAUAGGAAUAAAAUUUUGGGAAUGAUGAGAAAUGAUAGUUUUUUAUCAAAAUUAUCAAAAUUAACAAGAAACAAUUUUGUAUUAUAAUUCUCUACAAAAAAAAAAGAAUGAAAAGGAGCGAAGAUGCACAGCUAUACCUCAUAAAUGGUAAUUUUUAUAAGGAAUGUUGUGUUAUUCUCCUCAUUUCCUUGGUCACCAGUCACCCCCAAUAAAGUUAUAUCGAAUUAGAAAUAAUUUGUAUUUUCAAUUUGUGAUAUUAGUACAAGAUUUUAGAAUGUUUUUACUGGAAAUGAAAAAGUAAAAUAUUUUUGGAUCAUAGUUUUGGACUAAAAUAUAUUAAAAACUCCCCUAAUUGAUAUACAAAAAUAUAUUUUGGAUAAUCCCAUACAAUUUUAGAUAGUAAAAAAUUGUAAAUUUUACUCGAUUCUAAUUCAAUUUUUAUAACAUAUUAGUAAUAUAAUGUAAGAAAUAUUAAAUUAAAUGUUAUUUGAAUAAACCCGGGCGUAGCCCGGGCAAAAUCUCUAGUAGUAGUUAAUAGUAGCAGUUAAUAUAUUGAUGACAAAAAAAAGUAAUAGUUAUAUAUUGAGUAAAAGGGUAAUAAUUAAGAAUAUCAAAAUUUUAGUUAACGGUUAGGAAAGUUAUCUCGUUUGAAAAUAUGACUUUUGUUGUUUCCCUUGCUGCUUUUGACUUUUAAAGUUAUACAUUAUUUUUGACGAAUAAAAAGUUAUACAUUAUUUUUAACGAAAAAAAUAUCAUAGAUUAUUUUAUAUGUCAUGAUUUGGACGUUAACAUGUUAAAUAGUUUUACAGAAUUGCGACAUCAGGACAAAAUAUCGUCCCUAACAUUAUUUUAUACUUAAUGUAAUUUGACAACUUCUUUUCAAUUAAUGUAAUUUUUAAGAUGAAAUUAUACAAUUUUUAACAUUAAUUACUGAAAAGACACAUAUAUAAUUUGACAACUUCUUUUCAAUUAAUGUAAUUUUAGGAUAGAGCAACACAACCUUUGACAUUAAUAUAUAUGUGUAAAAACACAACUCUUGAACUAAAAUAAGUGAGAUUAGCGACAAUUUUACUUUGACAAAUGUAUGAUCAUAGACUAUUUAUGGAUUUUAUUUGAAUAGUUACAUCUUUUCAAUUUAAAUGGACGCACUCUUUUAACUUAAAAGUAAUUAUUUGAAAAGAUAUUUAUAUAAAUAGUUACCACUUUUCAGUUUUAAAUAGAUACUUAUAUGUUUAUGACAACUUAUCAUAUACAAAUCAGUGACCAUUUUUUUAUCAAGUAUUAAUGACCAUUUUUUUAUUUGUCACCUUUGAACAAUUCAAAUGGUGUCUUUUCAUAAAAGGAAAUAUAGCUAGUAACUUUUCACAGUAUUAAUUGUGACCUUUCACGAACAAAAUUAUAACCGUCACAAAAAGUAUUAGGUUAAUUAAACCGCAUGCAUGCAAAAUAUUUUUCAUUCCUGAGAAUCUUAAUAUGCAUGUAGAUGUGGACAAAACAAAGUUCCAGAGUAAAUCGCAUGCAUGCAUUCCUUGUAAACUUUUUGUUAUGAAUUCUAUAUAUAAUGUAAAGCAAAGAAUUCGUUCACGUAUGACUACUAUCGACAAAAAUCCAUAACAAAAGAAGAACAAAUUUCAAGCACUUGUUCAACCAUUGCACAUGUUCGUUUAUGUUUCAAAAGAAUCAAAACUUACAGAACCUUAAACGUUAUAACCAAAAAAUAUUUCCAGAAACUUAAAUGCCACAAUGCAACAUUUCCAGGUGCCGUGUGUAUAUAAAUUGUUUAUGAAUGUACACUUAAAUACAUGUUUUACGUUUAAGCUGGACAUGAUUCUUUACGUUUCUAAUCCAACAUCAGAAUUCAUAAAUGCAUGCAAAGCAUUAAUUCAUGCAUAAAAUGUUUAAUUAUUUUUACCAAAAAAAAUGUUUAAUUAUGCCGACCCUAGCUUCUAUCACGAACACUCACUAAUGGAUGUAAUAUGUUCGUUAAAAAGAUGUGAGAAGGAUACACGUGAUGGUUCGGGAAAAUAAAUUAGAAGUUAUGUUGAAGGAGAAAACAUGAUAGGAGAACUUGACUCUAGAUCAUAAUGGCAAGCGAUUUAUUCAAGCUCGGAAUAAAAAGAUUGCAGUUUGGACAAGACCUCCUGCUGGUUAUGUUAACUGUAAUGUUGAUGCAUCGUUCGAUCAUUUGAAUAUGUUUUCUAAAAAUUUGUAUCCAUGUAAUUGCUUAGAACUUUUUUCCACCAUUUUUUAUUAGUUCGAUUAGUGAAAUUUUUAUUUUGAAAAUGCAUGGUAGAGACUAUUUAUAGAUUUUAAAAAUCUGUUUGAAUAGUCACAACUCUUAAAUUUGAAUAGUCGCAUUCUUCCAAUUUAAAGAUAGUUAUUUUGAAAAAAUACUUAUAAGAAUAGUUACAACUUUUCACUUUUUAAAAGAUACUUAUAUGAAAAGUCACAACCAUUAAACAAUUUUUAGAAAAGAUACAACCUUCCAACAUUAAACUUUUAGAAAAGACACAACUUUUUAGAUAUCUUUUACGAAAGAUACAACCUUUCAACAUAAGUGGAUUCAUAAACUUUGGAAUUAAUUGAGAUUGCUAUUAUUAGUAGAUUGAUAACUUCAAAUACCGCCUUAUUCUUGUUUCUACCUGCUCAAAAACAAUAAGCUUUAGUCAGAUCUAUAUUAUGUAAAUCUUUUCAACUUGUAUGGGAUCUCUCUUCCUCCGAAAAUGGCGAUAACUGUCACGCAGAACGCUUGUUCCUAUCAUCUCAUGGAAUCUCAUCUAAUUAACUUCACUACCUCACACCACAACAAAAAAAAUUGUCAGGAAAAUUAACAUUGGCAUAUAAUUAAAAGGAGACUCACCUUUCUCAAGAUGCUUAGUGUAUUAACCAGAUAUAAACUAUUUGCAUUGAAGUUGAUAAAGAAAAACUAUUUGCAUUAAAGAUAUCUCAAUAUAUUAAAAAAUAAUAAAAGAACAGAAGAGGAAACAAGAUAAGUUUCUUAAAUUAGAAACUUAAAAAAGUCAAAAAUGCUCUUGGAACAUUUGCUUUCAUAUCUAGUAAUCUAUGUAUUUUAUAAUUUUAAAUUUAACUACGCAAUGAAACUGUAUUAAAAAUUAACUAUGUAAUGGAACGUUUUAAUAAAAUAUGACCACAAGCAUGGAUUUGUCCAGCUUAAGUUUAGGAUCGGCCCUGUCUCACAGUAUCAGUAGCAUAUUAAACUAACAAUUUCUGUUUUGGAUUCAGCGUUUUGGGCUGGAGGAAGAUUCUGGGAACUUGCCAAGGAGGGUUUACUUUACCAACCAGUUCUCUGAGUAGUCCACAAUAAGAAAAGGGAGAAAGUUAUUUUUAGAAAAUUGUAUAUUUUUCUUACCAGGUAAAAAAGUUGCGAAACAUAGUGGGCAACUAUUCACGAGAAAUAUGUCCAAAACCCUUUAAGUGUACUUUCUGGUAAAGGCGGAAUAAUUUAGGGUACCACACUGAUAAAUUGAAGAUCAAAUUGGUUAAAAUAGCCCAAAACAAACAAAGAACUAAAUUAGUUGUGGUUCUCACGAGACUAUUCGCAAGUGGACGGCAAACUACAGAAGAUCACUAUUAGGAAAAAGAAAAUGGCUACAAUAGUAAAAUGUUAGAGAAGGACUGUAUAUAGGGAACACCUUAAACCUAAAAGUGAAUUUAAACUAUAAGAACUUUGAAAAAGAACAAAGAAAAAAACAUGGCAAAGCUGCAAAGUCAAGUUGGGUCGGUGAAAAUAACAACCCACCUUACCCCCACUUCACCGUCCUCUAUGUUUUGAACAUGUGCAUUUCUUUGUUAUGACGAGCUAGUUCUUGACCACUUAAUUGUUAUAGUAGCCUGAAAUAAGACGAGUUCUUGACAAAUUUUUUUUUAUCUCGUUUAGUCGGCACGAAGCUAUCAAAUAUAUGGUUCACCUAUUUAUAGAGCACACAACUUUUUUUGGAGACAGCUAAUUGGAGAAUUCUGUAUUAUUUAAGGUUUGUUAUUUACUGUUGCUAUUCGACUGCCAGUAAAAACUUAUAUCUGUAAUUACAAUUCUAAAGUGUUUCUUUUAAAUAAAUAACAUUCUGUGGCCUCUAUCAUACCUCUUGAUUCAUAUCAAAUUUCCCGUAGAAUCUAUUUAUUAUUAUUUAAAAUAUUAUAAUCCAUAACAUAUAUUUUGUAUGGACCCAUGAUAUAUUAUUAAUAGACAUGUAUAUCUAUAAUAUUAUUUCCGAACUGAUUUUUGCACUCAAGCUCUCAUCUUAAAAGUUAGAGCAGUUAAUAUCGUUUAUACUCACAAUGAAUAAAAAUAUAUAAAUUAUUUAAAAAGAUGAAUUUAUUUUUUAUUAAAUAAGUAACUAAAAUUAAUAGUAAUAAGAAUUAUCCAAGAUCUAAAAAUAUAUUUUAAAAUAAAAAUAUAGCUCCUAUAUACAUUGUGUUAUCAAAAAAUAUUUUAAUAAAAAAUUAAAAAUAAGAAAAAAAGAAAACACAUAACAAAAUAUUAAUAAAGUAAAAAAUUUAUUCUUAAUUUUAUAUAAUUAAAAAUAGAAUAUUGAAAUAUUUCUAGGAUUUAUUUAUUAAUAAUGAAUAUAGUGUGCAAUUUUUUUAAAAAAAUUAUAAUACAUAAAAAAUUUAAAUGAAAAUAUAAAUAAUAAUUUAUUAUAUUAACAAUUUAAUUAUUUAUGCAUGUAUUAAUAAUUAUGUAUAAGAUGUUUAUGUCCACAUGUGUAAACGAAAUACCUGAUAAAUAUAUAAAUUUAGAAGAAGAACUAGAGGAAAUAUUUAGUAAAAAAUAGAAUUAGAGGAAAUUAUAUAAUAAUGUCAUAAAUCGUUUAAAGAUGAUAGUUUUUAAAAAUUCGUAUGCAGCCAUAUAUUCCACGUAGUCGAACUCUAAAAUGAUUCUUUAUCUUACAACUUUUGACACCAAAAAAUAAACUUUUUUCCCAUUGUAAAAGUCAGGGACCAUGAUUGUGAUCUAUGAAUUAGCUUGCAAUGCAACCACCACACCAGGUAUUCUCGUCAACGUCAACCAUCGUUUAUUAAUUAACGAAUUAUAUAUAUGUUUUGAAACAUUACUAAACUAGAUAGUAAUCCGCGCUUUGCGCGGGAUAAGAUGUCUAUAUUAAUGUUAAAAUUAUAUAUUAUGAUUAUGUAUAACAUAAAGUAUACUUUAACCGAUCGAUAGUUAGAUAGAACUAAAAGUAUGAUUAUUAUCAGGGGUGAAGCUAUAGACUUUUUAUAAUGAGUUCACUAAUAUUAAAAUUUAAUAUACGGUGUUUGCAAGUUUGAAAAGAAGCUUUAGAAAAUAUUUUUUUAUAUUUCACAUAUUUUGUUGUAGUAGUUAUGGACUUAGAGGUUUAACACAUAAAAUCGAAAUAAAAGUGGAUCAAUAACAUAUUAUAAGAAAAGCAAUAAUUGUGUGAAAUAAAAAAAAGUAUAGCUCCUUUAAAUUCAAAAAAAAAAUAGUUUCAUAAUAAAAGAAAUUGAAGGUUAUUUGACUCUCUAAAUUGUAAAUGUUGUUCUAGAUGCGACCAGCACGUGAGACUUGCUGGUGGUUCGUUCCUGGAAGUUUCUUCUCAUCUUCAAGAUCGUCUAAUGCAGAGCUCUCAUGGCGGCGAAAGUGGUGACACUCGGAUGCUUAUAUUGCUUGCUCGAGAAGACUAAUACGCUAAGCCGAAACGACUUACAGUGAUUCAGUUUCUUCGAAACAGAGAUCACCUCAUCGAGCAGUAACAAAACCGAAUACAUCACAUUUAUCUAGAAAUAGAUUUUCAACGUCAUAUUUCAGCAAUGAGAGGCGGUUCUCAAGAACGUGAGUGCUCUGCUAAAUGCAUGAAAACAUGUAUGGAGAAAAGAGUUUUUUCAUUAACACUUGGCAUCAUACUAAAGUUUCAUCGCUUUGUCGUCUCUACGGAUCUGUCGACUUAAUAGCGAUAGAUCAGAUGGAUUAGCUUUUUUAACAUAAACGUAUAGAGGAAUAAGGAAUCUUAAUUGAUGCUAUGAUUAUAUUGAGAAGAUUGAUAAAUCAAAUAAUCAAACUUGAAGCUGAAGGUUUAACGUCGAGAAAAGUAUACAUGGUUUGAAUAUUUUUUAAAGGAAUGUUAGUGUGAACGCAUUAAAUGCACAGUUUUGGUGAGAAAUGUUCUCUGCGUGACAGCUAAACGUUUUACUAAAUAAAAGUUUCUCGUGAAGCCACGUCACCACGUCACAUUCUUUGCCAAUAAACUUUUAAUGUAAGUUUUAAAAAUGCUUCUCCUUUAAUAUAUAGGAGAUAUAUUUUCGCUAGCAAACGAUUAGAUCUUUUCUAAAUUGGGAUGUAAACAAGUUUACAUUUAAAUAUUAAACAUGGCUUACAAUUUUUUGGCUUAUCUUAUACUACAUGUCACAUGUUUCGUUGGAAGCACAUCAGCUGUGAUCAUAUUUUAUUGUAGUUGGGUUGAGUCGGGUCAUCUCUUCCGAUAUUUGGUUUACUCUUUGAACACGUUGUAAAAACAAAAAACUUUGAAAUUAGGUUAUUUUGCGACAAGAUGAAACUUUCAUUUGGCUCCAUAAGCUAUUGUUUUUGGAUUUUUAGUUUUCAUUUAUUGGAUAGUCACGAAAAUAAUGAGUCUCUUGCUACAAUAACGUUAUUUGGUUGAUUAGUAGUACUUAGGCAAUAGAUUGUUUGUCCAUUCCACUAAACCCUAAUAACGACAACAAAAAGUUUAAUAACAACAACUAAAAAGUACAAACAGUGCGUUGGACAGUUUAGCACAAGAAAUUAAUUCCGUUGUGUCUAAGUUCUACUUUCGCUGGAAAAUGUUUUACAUCAUGUAAUAAUGUAGACUAGUAACUAGUAAUUAAUUACACGUGGGUGGUUUAGUGGUAGGCGGAAUUUCGUGAGCUAAGCGAUCUGGAUUAGAAAAAAUCUCACGACGCUAAAUAUGUGUGGCCAAAUGACAUGGAUCUCUAAUUCUCAUUGCGACUAACGGGUAGACUCUAACGAGACUAAUCGGUUAGAUCUAGAUCCGUCGGAAGCCCAGGGUUAUCAAAAAUAAAACUAAAAGAUAUUAACAACGGUAUCUCAUGCCUAUGAAAAAUCAGGUUCGGUAGAAAUUCUUUCCGGUUAAAGAAAAAACAACAACCAAAAAGUAGAAGAUAAAACAGAACAGAGCCCAAAGCCUCGUCACAUCUGCCUAUAAAUUCCCGUCACCCACUCACAGUCUUACCACAUCAAUUCUCUCAAACUUUCUCUCUUUUCUUAAAGAAAAUACAGAGACAGACCCCUUAAUUUAGUGAAGACGUAGAACAAUGACGAAGGAAGUGGUUGGGGAGAAGGGAUCCUUCUCAGGCAAAGACUAUCAAGACCCACCGCCUGAGCCUCUAUUCGACGCUACUGAGCUUGGGAAAUGGUCUUUCUACAGAGCUCUCAUCGCUGAGUUCAUAGCCACUCUCCUCUUCCUCUACGUCACCGUUAUGACUGUCAUUGGUUACAAGAGCCAGACCGAUCCAGCCCUCAAUCCUGACCAGUGUGCAGGUGUUGGCGUCCUCGGCAUCGCUUGGGCCUUUGGGGGCAUGAUCUUUAUCCUCGUCUACUGCACUGCUGGAAUCUCUGGUCUGUUUCUCACUUUCUCUAAUUAUUUUCAUAGAUUUGCUCCUAGACUGUCACUUUUUUUUAAUCUUAGAACAUAAUAACUUACUGCUGGCUCAAUUUUAUAUAUGAAUCUGUUAUAUCAUGAUUGAGAAAUGUAAUUCCAACAGAACAUGAAGUCGGUUUGGUUAGAAUGUCUUGAUAUUUUCGACUUUUUCGCUUUUAAGAUUUGUAUUAAAGUAGGUUAUUCGUUUAUAUCAUAAACAAUGUUACAUUCAUUUGUGAUGUAAUUUGGUUAGUGUGGUUUGUUUUAGCUCACAUGAAUGUUUUGGUUCAACUUAUAUAAUGGUAUAGGUUGACACAUAAUGGGGGGUUUGAGAUAUGUAUUAAAUUCAGUUACUCGUUUAAAUCACAAUUCAUAAACAAUGUUACAUUCAUUUGUAAUAAAAAUAGCUUUGGUUUGGUUUGUUUUGUUUUAGCUCACAUCAAUAUUUUGGUUCAACUUAUUUUAAUGGUAUAGGUGGACACAUAAACCCGGCGGUGACAUUUGGACUAUUGCUGGCUAGAAAAGUGACGUUGUUGAGAGCAGUAAUGUACAUGGUGGCUCAGUGCCUUGGUGCCAUUUGCGGCGUGGCUUUGGUUAAGUCCUUCCAGUCUUCUUACUACACCCGCUACGGUGGCGGCGCAAACGGUCUCUCUAACGGUUAUAGUGUUGGCACUGGUGUUGCCGCGGAGAUCAUCGGGACAUUCGUCUUAGUCUACACCGUCUUCUCCGCCACUGACCCCAAGAGGAGUGCGCGCGACUCUCACGUCCCUGUAAGCUCACUAUCUCUUGCAGCUAGAUAAUUUCACCGCACUAAAAUGUAUGAUAUUAAUAUAUCACUGAAAUGAUGUUGUAGCAAAAUUAUUAAUCGGCCAAGAGUAGAAUAAUAUGCAUUUAAUGGGGGCAAGGACACGUAUAGCAUGUUUUUCUUGGUUGAUAUUCGAGAUCUCUUUUUAUUGAUAUUUUAAACCGUGAAAUUUUUUGAACUUCAAAUCCAUAAUUUCUCAAGUUCUCUAUGUUCGGAAUCAGUUUUUACAUAUUAUGAUUUAAAAAUUACUAAUUUUUUUGUUUAAAAAGUGGUUUGAACUUUGAACCCAUGACACGAGAAUCAUCUCACCACUAAACUAUCAAUACUUCGGUAGACCUUUUUUUUCUUUGUCUAGUGGUUCAGCUAAUCGGUGUUCAAGUAGUUAAAAUUCUGAUAGACCGGUUAUCCGCUUUCGAAUUGUGAAUUUAUCUAGGUCUAAAGAUAUUACAUCUUAGUAAAUAAUUUGCUCUGUUAAGCUUAAGUAUAUUUGGAUUUUUGAAAAUUUGGAUUUUUGGAAAUUUGGACUUUUUUUGAUGUCGAACCAUAUAUUACGUAGAUUUUGCCAGUCUAACUUCUAGAUUCUCCAUUAUAACAAACGUCAGAAAAGGACAUUGAUAAUCUAAACUUUUUGUCUUUCACGCCUAUCUCCAUCAUAUGUGAAUGUCCUUUAUUGUAAAUGGUCCCAAGGUUCAUUUGCAACCACGUAUCCUUCUCUCAAAGUUUGAGACUCAAACCUAACUAUAUUAAUAAUAUUUGGAGGCUUACAUUAUUUGUCUCGUGAAUAAGUAAUAAGUAAUAGUAUCAUAUAUCUUUUGUUACUGUUGAUGAUGUGGUAAAUUGAAGGUAUUGGCUCCAUUGCCAAUUGGAUUUGCGGUGUUCAUAGUUCACUUAGCUACAAUCCCAAUCACGGGCACUGGCAUUAACCCUGCAAGAAGUCUCGGAGCUGCAAUCAUCUACAACAAGGACCAAGCUUGGGACCAUCAUGUUCGUAUUACCAUCUAAAAAAUUUCACUCCUUCGUAUUCGAUCUCACCUUUGGACAAAGUUUUAAUAACGUUUUUAAAUUUCUACAGUGGAUAUUUUGGGCGGGUCCGUUUGCGGGUGCAGCCAUUGCGGCUUUCUACCAUCAGUUUGUAUUGAGGGCUGGUGCGGUGAAGGCGCUCGGGUCUUUCAGGAGCCAGUCUCGCGUUUAGCUUUGACUCUCGUCAUCAAAGAGAGCAAAGAAAGAAGACAAUAAAGAGCGGCUUUUUAUGUAAUGUUUAGAUGGUUUGGAACCUAGCGACGUGUAGUAUCUUAGUUCUAGCUUUCGUGAAGAGAUGUUUUGAGUGUGACUUGUGGGUCAACUUUGAAAUGCUACUUCUCUUAUAUCUAUGUCUGCUAUUUUAUGUUGCUCUAACUUUUACUAGUUUUCUGAAUUCCUUAUAUGAACUUUCCACGUGAGAGUAUAAAGGCCACCCUAUAUUUACACGUGGAAGAUUAAGGUUACUUUAAGAAAUUAUUACUAUAAUUUAAGUGUUUUGUUAAGUGUCUUUAAUUAAAAAAUGCACUCAUGAAAACACACACAAGUAAUCAAACUAGAGAGAAUUUACAAGAUAUCUAAGUUUAAGUGUAGGUCAUUGAUUUUGAUAUAAUUAGAGAAAUAACAAUUGUGUCUCGUUUCAUUCGGUUAUAACUCUCUGUCCUACAAGUAGCAGGUGAAGAGAAGAAGGUAAGUCCACGUCGUCCACGUGAAAUAUGUGUAUUUAUCGGUGACAAAUGAUAAAGAGUUACGUUGACAUCAACUUAUAUGACCCACAAUUUAUAUGACCUUUGCAUAAUUUACGAGAAAAAAAGAACCACGUCACUUUAAUCUUUUACCACAUAAAUAAACACAAGUAAAAGAAGAUGAAUGCAUGAAGAAGUUAAUGUUUACCAGAUUGUGUGUAUACUAUUCUAUCUCGGUUACGCACUCAAACCUUUACUGAAAAUUAUACAACCACUGAUUAAUAAAGCUAAACCCUAAUCAAGAAAGCAUAAACCCAAAUAGAAUGUAUAUAAUAUGGUUUACUAUACACAAACCUCUACUGAGUAAAUCUAAACCCUAGGCAUGAACCUAUAAACACAAAUAUAAUCUAUAAAUUAUUUUCUAAUAUUGGACACUUGAAGGUACACUUACUUGGUUAGCAUGUUGCAUAUCUUCUAUUACAUAUAGUCUAAAUAAUAUAGUAAACAAAUGUUCCAAAUAAUUAAAUUUGUCCAUUGAUGUAUCCAUAGUAUGAAAUGCAAACAGUAAGCUCUCCCCACCCGAAAAAUACAACAAUACAAGAUACACCACUAAUUAGUAAAACUAAAUCCUAAUCAAGGAAAUAUAAACCCAAAUAGAAUGUAUAUAAUAUGGUUUACUAUACCCAAACCUCUGUUUAGUAAAUCUAAACCCUAAGCAUGAACCUAUAAACUCAAAUACAAUCUAUAAAUUGUUUUUCAAUAUUUGACACUUGGAUGCCAUUUACUUGGUUAACAUGUUGUAUAUCUUCUAUUCCAUAUAGUCUAAGUAGUACAGUAAGCAAAUUUUACAAAUAAUCAAAUUUGUCCAGCACUCGAAAAAUCUGAAUUUUAUAUUACAAUCAAUCACACAAAAUUACGGAGAAGAGAACUAUCAAAUUUGAAAACAUGACAUAUUAUUAUAUCCUUAAAAAAUAAUAUAGAAAUAUGUCUCAAAUAGUAUGGUACCCUUACAUAAAUAGGUAAACCAAUAUAUAUAUAUAUAUAUAUAUAUAUAUAUAUAUAUAUAUAUACUAUACUAUUCCUUUCACCGAAUAUAGUAUGGACGGAGAGUUCAUCCUCUUCAUUUUUUUAGACAUGUUGAUGGUGAUACACAGUUACUAGGAUCAUAAUCAUUAUUCUUCAUCACCAUAUAGAACUCGUCUUCAUCUCCUUUCUUUUUCCGACAAGGCGACAUUUUUACCGAUCCGUCGUCAUUAUUCUUCACCACUGUAUCUAGAAAACAAUACCAGAAACAAAAACAUAAUAUUAAAGUAAAAGCAUGAUUGUAAGUAAUCAAUGAUUUAAGAUAAGAAGAAAAAGAAAUAAAAGAGCUUUUGUGUCUGCUCAGUGUAAUCCUUCGCCAUGAACACAAUAGAGUUCGUCGGAACGCGCUAGACAUCUGGACAAAAUUGAUUAAUCUUUCUAAUAUUUACUAAUAAAAAUAACAUUUAAAUAUAUGUGUGAUUAUCAAAAAGUAUGACUAACUAAGAGACACGAGUGAGUAACUUUGCCACAUUAAUUAUUAUUAAAUUUUGUUUUUUGUUUGUAGGUUUCCGGUUAUUCAUAAGGGCAGUAUAGCUAUUAUUUAUAAAAGAGAAGUGGUGUAUCAGUGCGUUAGGGUAUUUAGAUAUCUAGUGAAUUAUUAAUUGUUUGAAGGUUAUACAUCCUAGUUCCCCAUUAAACUAUGUAGGUAUCCAUGCGAAUGCAGUACGGUACAAACUCUAUAAGUUAGUAAUGUUGAAAUUGUAGUAUUUCAUUAACUUAUAGUUAUUAAUUUACAAAAGUUUUAAAAAAUUAUAUUCUAGGAUAAAUAUUUUUAUAAUAUAAAAAGAUAAUUUUAUUGUAUAUACAUUAAUAAAUGUUAGAAAUUUGAUUUUUAUAUUAAUUUUAUUAUAUUAUUUGGUGUAUAUAAAACAGUGUUUUAUAAAAUUUAAAUGAGGUCUUAGAUAUAAUUUUACUAAAUAUUUUAAAAAUAUAUUGAUGUGUUAAAAAAUAUAAAGAUGAAUUUCAUUGUAAAUAUAAAACAAACAAUUUAAUAUUUUAUUUUUAUUUAUAUAAACUGUAUAUUUAUAAAUUGUUAAUUUAUUAUUUUAACGGGACUAUGUAUUUACAUAUGAUAUAAAUUAGAGAAAUUCUCUAGGAUAACAUUUUUUAAGUGUUUCUCAUAAAAAUAGUCCUCAAUGAAGAAAACGACCAAAAUAAGUUUUAUUUAAAAGUAAAAAUAUAUUUUUACCUUAGAGUUAACUAAUCUAGACUUAGGGUUUAGAGUUAAAGGGUGAAGUUUUAGGGAUAUAGUUUCAAAUUAAAAAAAAAAAGAAAUAUUAAAAUUUCAAAAUAAAAAUGGGCUAUUUUGAUCAUUUUUUUACUUGAUGCUAUUUUUGUGACAAAAACUUAAAAUGGUUAUUUGAGAGAAUUGUGCUAUAAAUUAUCUUAUUAUCUUAUCGGUUUGUGUCAUAUUUUGAAUUGAACCAAUUUGGAAUCGAUAAAAUUUAUUAAUUUAGCAUGUUUAUUAAUUUACUAUUGUAUUUGUAUUCAUUACAGUAAGUUUUUUUUUUCUUUCCUUUUGAAAGGAAGCCACAUGCUCAAUCAAUAUUCAUUGAUAAUUGAAUAACAGAAGAAUGCGUACAAAGAUUUGGUAACGCUUCUGAUUUUGAUAGACGUGCGAGAAAGAACACGUGCCUUGUUAAGUACGCAAAAAUGAUUAUUGUUUCUAUUAUACUUUGUUGUGUUGCCUAUUAGUUUGGCAGGUACUAUCACAAAUACUGUUGGCUGACUCAUAGAGUAUUGUUAUUGGAUUGGAAAGUGAUGGAAAAGACGCACUGAGAAGUCAAAUUAAGUGGCUUAUCAUAGAGGACCUUAACAAUGUCUUUCAUGCGCAUUAUUUGAAACACAUGAUGAAAAUAAGUUUGGCACAAGUCAAUCGACAAAGCUAAUCUCUCCAUUCAACCACAUUUCGUUAUUGAAAAGCAAGAUCUUAAUAAUCUUUCCUAUGAAAUACAGGGAAACAUCAUCAUUUGCAUUUAAACUCAACCACACAUAUUUUAUUUUUUCGUCUAUGGUUUAACUAGUUUAAUCGUUGGUGUGGUGUGGGAUGUAUAAACUAUGUUCAAUUUCAAGGGGGUGUUUGCUUAAGUGGCUUUCUGUUGAUUAGUGAAACAUUGAAAAAACGUAACCAUUACAAAUCACAUUGGAUAACCAUUAAUAUCCUGGUUGCUAGAUGAUGACAAAUGUUAAAUAUGUUUUGUUUUGUGGGCCUGUGGCCCAUUAGUUGGAACAAAAAUGGAGCCCAAGUAUGAAGAAGAUUACACCAAAUUGGGGUUUCUUGACAAAAAACAAGAAACUAGAAGCUUCUUUCUCAACUUGUCGCCGAAGAUCACAACCAGAGGUCUCGUCAAUGGCUGCUAGGUUUCUUAGUCUGAGACGCGCUUUAUCUCUCUACCUCACUAACCAACAACCUCGGCUUCCUCUGUUUCAAGGUAUCAUCUUUUCCCUUCUCCAACUUGCGUUAUCUUUCAAAUCAUGAUGUGCAAAAAGGAUCCUUUUAUUGUUAUUUUGAUUCCUUGUUACAGUUUAGAGCAUGACAUAACAUAAAAACUCGGCCUUUAGAUUUUUUUUCAAUCACUGAAUCAUAGGCAGAGAUGUGUGUAGAAGAGAUAGGGCCUCGGGAUUUGAUGUUUUGGUUUUACACUAGACAGAGAUUUGUAUAAAUAAGGGAGAUUUGUGUAAAUUAUAAUCAAGCAUUUAAAUGGUUCUCUCAUUUUUUUUGAAAAAACAAUCUCAGCAGGUAGGCUUUCACAAUCAAAGCCACUCUUGAGCAGAGAUUAUGCAUAUGUUGGAUUACUUCAGAGGCACUUCUGUGUAUCCCGUGAGGCUAGUGAAGCUGCUGCAGUAACCAAUAGCUGCUGCAACUCUUCAAACUCUGUUUCCGAACUUUCCAAAGCUCCUUCCACCUCCCCUGCAACAACAGCCGCUGAGGAUCUGAUUGUGAAGUACAAGUCCCAGCUGAAAAUAAACCCGAGGCAUGACUUCAUGAUGGUGUUUACCUGCAAGGUAUGCGAGACUAGGUCUAUGAAGAUGGCCAGCCGAGAAUCAUACGACAAGGGGGUUGUCGUGGUGCGAUGUGAAGGGUGUGAUAAUCUGCAUUUGAUUGCGGACCGUCUUGGUUGGUUUGGAGAACCGGGGAGCGUGGAGGAGUUGCUCGCUGCUCGUGGGGAUGAAUUCAAGAAAGGUCCCAUGGAUUCUCUUAGCCUUACUGUUGAUGAUUUGGCUGGAAAUAAGAUAUCCAAUGAAUAGAGCAAGAAGCUCUUCGUUGGUAUUAGCUAAUUAUAUUCACUACUAGGACCUGAACCUGUGGAGAACAUAACAUAAUCUGUCUUUUUAUAUUAAUUUUUGAAAUAAAAUUGGUAUUAUUUACUAUGUGAAUACACAAGAGAAUAACGUUGAAAAGCAUCUUUUUCAUUCUUGUUAUUCUACUCAUGGCUGCCACAUCUUGGUUCGAGAGGUGUCGCUUUGGUCAAAACCAGUUUAUAUAAGCGCCUUCGCAAUCCGCCAAUCUCCAUGGCGAUGGGACAAACAUUGUUAACAAUGUUUGUGAAAAAAGUUGACAGAAAGCAUAAAGUCAUGAUUCUACUGAUGAGAAAAGAGAGAAGAGAAAAGAGUAGUGAAAAUAAAAUUAAAUAAGUGAAAUGAAAUUACUUGUCAGAUCAUCGGUCAUGGCCCAGUUAGGAUGAAGUAUUAAAAGAUCAAAUGAGUGAUGAAUCGAUUAGACUUUGUAGUUGCAGCCUCCGGACUUUACAUGUUAAAAUGGAAAUCAAGGCAACAUAGUGUAUGAGAAAUAUGUAUUUUAUUUCGAGACUAACUGGUUAGAUUUGGUGUAUAUAUGAUUUUAUAAACUCGUUAGACCGACUGAUUUCUAUCUUAAAGAUUAAUUUUUUUCUUUUAUUUUUUUGUCAAACCUCAAAGAAAGUUUUGCUUUGUUUUUUUACAAGAAAAAUUUUAAAUAUAGACAGACAUAUGGUUGGAUGUAGUUGUUUUCUUAGAAUAGUAUUUCUAUGGACCAAAACUUAAUUUAAGUUAUUUAAGUAGAACUAGGCAAAUAAACCGAACCCAAAAACCAGAUCCGAUAAAAAUAAAUCUGAACCCAGCAUAAAUACCAAAUGAAUCUUGUUUUAUGGUAUCUCGGGUUAUGGGUAUUAUUCGAACAGAACCCAAACCUAAAUGAAUAUCUGGUAGAACUCGAAACAUUCAAAAUUCCCAAAAAGAACCUGUACUAAACAUGAUAUCAAUUCCUAAUAUGUAUUCAAAAUAUAUUGAACAUCUAAAAUAAUUAACUAUUUUAUGAAGAUUGAUAGUUGAAGGUGGAAGUUGAAGGUUGAAGUUUUUUCAUUUUGUUUUUUUUUCAUUGAAUAAUGUUUUUCAUUUUAUGAGAACUUGGUUUUCGUUUUAUGCUUUCACUUAUUUGUUUUUUUUCAAUCAAUAACUAUGUUUACCUUUCACUUGAUUUUGAAUGAUCAAAUUUGAUGUUUCUUUCUUUUUUUUGAACCGAUUUUAUUUAUGUUUUGGUUACAAAAUAUGUACAAAUCAAGUAUUUUUAAAUUGAAGAACCGAUUUUACUUAUUUUUUGGUUACAAAAUGAUAUAAAUCAGGUACAUUUAAACCAAAGAACCGAUUGGGAUCUGAACCCGAAAGUACAUCGGGUUGUACCAGUUUUUUAAAGAUUUACUAACUCUGACCUAAACCUGAUAGAACCUGAACCGGUCCCGAACCAAAUUUUCAUAUAACCCGAAUGUGACUGAUUUUGAUAAACCCGAAAAAACGAAACCCAAUUGGGAUCCCGAAUGCUCAGGCCUAUAUUUAACCAUACUGUCAGUUGAAAAAAAAUACAGCAUCGUCUUCACAGGCUUUCUUAUUUCUUUUAGUACUAAUUUUCCAAGUAGAUUCAGCACGUUCUAAGUUGUAUGAGAUUAGUAAUUUCACAUGUGCAUUAUGAAUCUAUUGACGAUAUAUGAUGUUCACGUAUAACUACGUUACGUUCAGCUUCAAGGCGUGUUUGCCUAACGUGGCUUUUUUUUUUGGUAAUUAUUCAAACCAUUCUUAUACUAGGUAUUGUAGGAGAUGAUUAAUUUCAGAUCCCAGCUGUUAUCUUGCAAACCAAUUAUAGUAAAUGAAUUCCAUAAGAGUUCAAGACAUUUACAAACAUGUGCGAAGAGAAUAUUUUCCAUAUGUAUAUAUCUAAAAUUUGAUGAUAUAUAGUAACUUUCUAUGCUUUUAUAAAUGUUUUAUUGUAGACAGCCAUUAUCAAUCUCCUGCUUAUUAGAUACCAAAUGUUAACUAUGUUUUUUUCUAUCCUCAAGUAGAACAGAAAAAGAAAGGCCGGUCUACUAGUGGGCCUCUGUCUGUGUCUCAUUGGUUGAACCGCAACAUGUUCGGUCCGAUGGAGCCCAAAUAUGGAAGAAGAUACACACCAAACUCGAAGCUUCUUUCUCAAACUUUGUCGCCGAAGACUAGAGAAUCUUUAAUUUCCUUACCCAGAAACCAGAUUCACACCCAACCCCCCUUCUUCGAAAGAAGACAAGCCAUGUCGGAUUCUUUAGUGACGGCGAUAUACAGUUGGUUCACACCGACAGUACUAUUCAUCUUCCUCAACUUAAUAAUUGGCACCAUUGCAAUUUCCUCUUCUCUAUCUUCCAAAUCCAACGAUCCAAACCAAACUCAGAUCCAACGCUCUCCUUCCGUGAUUCACCGUCUCAAGUCCAUUAACUUCUCCUCUUUCACUUCCCCACCUGACAAAACUCAUCUCCAGUUCCCUCCUGUCGCAACAACUCCAGACAUCGACAAAGAACCAGCUUCCAUCGAACAGAACCAGCCUUUUCUUUCUAGAUCUCCUUCUGUUCUCCACCGAAUCAAAUCUUUCAACCUCUACAAUUACAUUUCUCAAGAACCCAUCACCGUCGCUGAAUCGCCGCCGCCGCCGCCGCAACCGUCUGUCCCCGCCGUUGAGGAAGAGGAAGACACAAGUCCGAGCCUUGAGGAGGUUUACAGCAAGCUGAAUCUGCACCAUGUGGCUCGCACAAAGUCUGAUACCGAGCCAGCUGCUGGAGUUAUCCCACCGAAGCUUCCCAAGAAGAUGAAGAAAUCAGCAAGUACCAAAUCUCCUUUCUCUCAUUUCGAGGAAGCGGAAGACGCCGUGGAGGCUCGUCGGCCGGAGACGGUUAGGGUCACGAGGGUGACUCCAGUGGAAGAGGCUGAUGAACAAGUAGACGCCAAAGCUGAUGACUUCAUCAAUCGUUUCAAGCAUCAGUUGAAGUUACAAAGGAUUGAUUCCAUCACCAAGUACAAGGAGAUGGUCAAGAAAAGAAACGACAAGUGAAAUAAAAAUUAUGGGGUCUUUUUAUUAAUUAUGUAUUAAUUUUGAGGACUGUUUUUAUAAUUACCUGGUUGUAUUCUCAAUUUGAUGUAAUGGUUUUUGUUCUUCCAGUGUGCUUAUCCAAUUUGUGAACUGUGACUGCUCUCUUCUUCUUUCUUUUGUUAUGGUAGUAGGUUCAUGUGAUUGCCUGUUGUGGUAAUACUUACUGUUUUAGCUGCAUGUAAUUUAUAAUCAGACAUAUUAAUGGUUCUCUCAUUUUCUGAAAAUAAUCUCAGCAGGAAACUUUCACCAGGCGUGUGGACCUUCGGAACCCAUUUGGUUCGGAUCGAGUUUUUGGACUUGGUUCAGUCCCUUAACUCGUUUGGUCUGGGUUUGGUUAAUAACCACAACUAGAACUUGAACACUGGGUAGAAAAUAAAAUAGUUCCUUGUAUUUUUUAUGUUAGUUUAGAAACAAUAAUGUACUUUUAACAUUAUUUUAAGAAACAAUAUUGGUAUUAUAAUUUAAUGUGAAUACAAGCAAUCAUAGAGCACAAGAGAACGACGUUGAAACAUAUAUUGUUGUUAUUCUACUUACGACUGCCACAUUUGGUGGUCUUAGUUUGAGAAUUGUAGCUUUGGUCAAAACAGUUUAUAUAUAAGUUCCUUGGCAAUCCUCAUAUUUGACAGUAUGACCAACAUGGUUAACAAUGUUGUAAAAAAAAUUGAGAGAAAACAUAAACUCCUGAGUCUACUGAUGAGAAUAGAGAAGAUGAAAGGAAAAUACAUGCGCAACAAAUUCUCAAGUCCGAGAAUAUAAGACAAACCAAUAACAAGGUUUACAUCAACGUUAUUUAUUACUAGUAGCAACCAGCAGAGAAGUCAUAGUGAAAGAGAUGGUGGCUUUGGAUCUUCAAUAGCACCGUUCAAUGCAGCCUUGAGUCCUUAGGGAGAAUGAGAUUUACCUUUGCCUGAGACUUUUUUUUUCCUUUGCCUGAGACUUGAAUAGAUAAGGCUUAGUCUUCAUCAUCCAUGGAUCUUUUUAUGUUUCCUGCUUGGCUCUUGAAUUCUUGAUGCAGCGGUUCUUUCGCCAGUUUGGCUAUUUUAUUUUGCUUGUUGAACAAUAAUGUUGUAAGAUAUGAUUACAUAUUAAGCGACUAAAACUAAAUGAGUACGAAUGUAAAGUAAACUUACACCGCUUACAAAAAAGAUAUUCGAGAUGUCAAAAAAAAAAUUGUUCGCAUUUUCUUGUAUGUAAAUAAGGUGGUUGUGGUUGUGGAUAUAAAUUAAAGUUCACCCACUGAGAAAAAGAUAAUAAUAAUCGAUUUAAAGAAAGUGAUAGUGCUGUAAUAAUUCUCCACUGACUUAUUGAAAAUGGAGAAAAUAAUUCAUUUCUAGGUGCUCAACUUCUCGAUGAUUUUUGAAAGGGCUGAGUAGGUGCCCAUAGCUGAACAUACUGCUCCUACUGUGAUAAUUACGAUACAAAGCGCCACCUACAACACACACGAAAAUGGUUGUCAAGAGAGGAUAUGCAUAUUGGCUACUUAUAGACAUUAGAGACUCAAGUGCACAUUUGGUUUUUCGUUUUCCCGGUUAAGAGAUGUAUACCUGAGUAGGGGUUACUUUUGUCCUUAAGAUGCUCAAGAAACAAGCGGGUGGUAGUAUCAACGUCUGUGUCCAGAAGCACAACAUUCAUAUGAAAAUGCAAACUAUAUAUGAGUUUGCUUGCAUAACAAGAAACUUUAUAGGUAACUUACAAUGAGCAUUGUCAAGAAUGAUCCAAUCAAUGACAUGACAAGGCCUGCAAGAAGUGAGUGUCAAUAGCUAUAUGAAAUAUAUAAUUGCAAUGAGAGUAACACCUUUUUAUAUUUUUUUGAGUUUGAUUACCGAAAAAGGGAAUCGCAAGACCAACGAGCAGAGUAGAGAAGGCCAGUGCGCUUCUAAUGGCGAUUGCAUAGAAACGUGACUUGCCAUGGUUUGAUGGUAGUAACUCCUCAAGACUCAUUGCAACCGGAGAUAAUGUCAAAGCAUAUGUGAUUUCUUUAUUAAGGCCACACAAUUUUUCAGUUUCCAAAGAUGAGAAUAUAUGUGAAUAAGGUUGUGGAAAUUACAGAAAUAAGUAAAGAAUUCUGAAAAAAUCAUUAGAAAAGGAUAUUUGGUAAAUGGACUGACUACCUGCAAAAGGGUUUAGAGAAAACGUCAAUGAAAUAUAUAAUGGUAUUUCUGUAAUAUUUCUAUCUAAGUCAUUUGCUCAAAAACAUAUUUCAUGGUAUUGUGUAUGCAAUUAUUUUAAAACCUUUGACAUAUUACAAAAUCAACGAAGUAUUCUAGUGCAUCUUAACGAGAACCAUCCCCAUUUUCUCAUGUAACAACUAAAAGAUGUAUGGAACGAAACUUACUGUGGUCCACAAAGCAAUCUUAGAUGCAACCAAAUCUUGAGGCAAAUUGAGAGUAAACUGUGAUUCUGUUGAUUCUCCGAACAUGCUAUAUCCCAUGACAGCGACACCCGCAUACAUCAAAGUACAAAUUCCAAAACUGCAAAGUAAAAUAAAAACUCUACUUCAGAAAAACAGAAAAUAUAGAGUUCUAAACAUUUGUAAUGUCUUUAUAAGAUUUUACCAUGUUACGAGAACUGCUGGGAAUUGAGAGGGUUUGGCCAUUGAAGUAUAAAUAUUUGGGAAAACACCAUGCCCUGAAUAACAAUAACCAUAAAGUCCUACAGAAACCGGUAAUGUUGCUAGGUUCAGAGGAGUUCCUUUACUGUGAAUUCCAACCUCAUCAAUCAAACCGACCCAGAACAAGCACAAAACCACUAAAACUGAUGCAAUCACCCCUCCAGCUGAAAAAUAAGGAUAUGAUUAGUUAUAACCGAAACUCAGUAAAAUUUUAUACGUUUGACUAAAUUAUAUAACUGAAGUUAGAUUUUGUUUACCAUAUAUAAUGUUAGUUACAAUAAACUAUUUAAUUACAGUUUUUAACCGAAAACCGAGUAAACCAGAAAUUCCAAACCAAAUUAAAUCAAAAUUUAGUUAUAAUUUGGUAUAAAUAUGUUAAAAUGAAACAAUUGAACUGAACCGAACCAGAAAACUGAAUGUUCACUCAUAAAUCACUAAAGAUCUGAAAAAAAAUAAGAUGAGUCCUAGAAAGAUCCAAAGAGCCAUAUUUAGAUGUUUAUACCUGAAAUGUAACUUAAUAUACUGAGAUCUCGAAGCCAAACAGUGGGGAGAACCGCAAUGGUGGUAAGAAGAGCAAAUAGAUGAGGUGCAUCUAAAUGAAACCCUCCAAUACUCAAAGCAGCAUUUGGAAAUAAUGAUGAAAGAUUGUCACUCUCCAGAAUUAUGUAUUCAACACUCAUAGCCUUCACAGAGAGAACAUUGAAACAUAAAGUCUGUAUCUUUAUUAUAACAAAAAGAACAUCUAGCAUUCAAUCCAAUGCAAUUGCACAAUUUUUUUGUCCUAUUUACAAUAGCAUUUCAGUGUAUGUGGUGUUGAUAAUUUUCAACAAUAAUCCCCUAUAUAUUAUUUGAGAAGCAUUGCAACAUUUUUUUGUAGCCACAUGUCAUCACUAGAAUGAUUCUUAGAAUCCUUAGAGAAAUAGGUUGGUCCAUUUAAAUAUAUAAUAAGCUUUUUAUUAAACUACAAUAAAUACAUUAUUAAUGUGAUUCAUUAUUUCCUUAAAUAAGAUUAUGGAAUUGCAUAAUGUGGCUAAAGUAUAUAUGACAAUUAAUAAUUUUGAAUAAUAAAGAUUUGAUAAAAAUAAGUGUGUAUUAUAAUUAUAUUUGUUUUAUUUUAAGCUAUUAAAAUAAAUUAAACAAUCAUAGUGUCCAUAUAAUAAAAAUUAAAAAAAUUAUUUAUAUAUUAUAUUUUGAAUUUUUAAAAACGAGUAUAAAUUACUAAAACUGUUAAAAGUUUAACAUUCAGAUUUUGUGAUCUACGAUUUAUAACUUUUGUUAUGACAUGAUACAAAUAAUUGAAAAAUAAUAUAAGUUGAAAGUCUCAUUUAAGAAGUAUCAAAAAUAAAAGAUAUAUAAAUAUAUGUAUCAUUUUAAAUUAAACUAUAUGCCAUAUAAAAAUACAUAAAUAUCGUAAUUUUGAAAUUUACUUUGGACAUUUUUUUGAUAAAAAUUUUGAAAAAAUAUUGACAACUUAAUUUUUUAAAAUAUUAUAAAUUACUUAAACCAUUAUUCCCACGGUGAAAAUUUUGUUAUCACUAAUUUAGACUUUUUGCUAUAACAAAUACAAAUGAUAAAAAAAAAUGAGCAAAAAGCAUCAUCUAAUAAAUAUUAAUAUUAACAUAUACCACAUAUAUGUUACUAUCAUUUAAAUUUAAUUAUACAUCAUAUCAAAUAGAAAAAUAAUUUUUUUGAUUUAUUAAAUUUAUUUAUAUGUUCGCACCAAUUUAAUUAUAUAAGUAGUAGAUAAUGACUUUUUAAUUAUUCAAUAUAUAUUUAUUAUUUCAUAAUAUGCUAUAAACAUAUAAUAUAUAAAAUAAUUUAUAUAUAUAAUGUUCAUCCCGCGCAAGGCGCGGGUCUUAACCUAGUAUUACUUAUAACCAAAUAAUCCAAUAAUCCAAGUAAAAAACAAGAGAGGGGGAGACACUAUGGACCCUGACUAAAGGUGUUGUACUACUCCACAUGUGGUCCCUUUAAUAAGAAUGUGUGUUUUGUCUUUAUUAAUAAUAAUAUAAAGUAAACUAUUGGAGGAACUGCAAGUUGUACUUACAUAUAGCUCCAGAUAAAGUAUUACCUGCAAUCAAAAAGAGGAUGAUAACUAUAAAAUAUGACAUAAAUGAUAUCUUAUAAACCUCAGAUUUACAGUAAAUAGAUGACUAAUUUCUUACUAAGUGUAUCAUCGAUAAAAUGUUGUACUUACGGAGACAAGGAUGCGGCCGGUGGUACCAAAAGCGGCAUGGCCAAUGUCUGGAUAGGUCUGGAGAUCGGGGUGGCUAUCAAGGCAGUAACGCAAAAGCAAUCCAGUGUAAAAACAAAGAACACCAAAUGCAAAGAGUAUGAGAAGUCCCAACCAUCCUCCUUCCUUCACAGCAUAUGGUGUUGACAAUAUUCCAACCCCACAUAAAACAUUUACUCCUGCACAUGUGUGUGUAUCUAUGUCAUCACUUUUAAGUAAUUUUAAUUAACAAGGAGUAGGACUGGUUCUAAGACUUUGGAGGUUAUAGAUAUUUAAUAAGAACUUUAAUGAUUUCUUUUCUUUUACAAAUUGGGGGCUUAUAUAUAAAUUAGCUCUUAAAAAUUUUGAGAACCAAGACCAAUGUUUCAGUUAGUUGUGCCCGACAGGAAGUGUCACCAUUUACAUUACCAAGUGGUUUGAUGAAACUCACCAUUAAGAACAGCUUGUCCGAAUGAGCUAUCGUUGGAGAUUCCCAUUUCAUGAGACACCCUGGAUGAGGCUUUGGAAGGAAGUAGAGAAUGAGAGCUGCGUUUACGCUUUGCUGCUUCUUCAUCUACUAGGAGAGGUUUUCUAACAGCAGGUAACGAUUCUGGAGUAUGUCUUCUUGUUAAGGACGAGAAAGAGCUUUCAAAUCUUGACAAUGAAGAAUUACCCAAAAAACCAGGACUGGGAGAUGGUAGACUUCCAUAUAGAUCAAUAGAUUGUCUAACAACAUUAUAACAGAGUAACAUGAAAAUGAUUAGGAUCCAAAUCAAAUGUUACAAAUUUGAGAAUCAUGGUUAUAUAAUUUACCUGUAACUCUUUGGCCAUGCCGUUGAGUAUGAGUUAGGUUUAGAAUGAUGUUGGUUGUGAUUGUGAGUAUCAGAAUAAUCAGAGAAAGCUCCAUCAUCUUCUUCUUCGGACAAGUUCUUUCUCUCGUCCUCUCCAUCACUCUCAAGGUAGAGGCUCUGAUCAGAAGAUGAGUGAUUCAUUUUCUCACAACCCUUAUCCGAUAAACACAACUUAGAUUUUAGUGGAAUCUUUAAAUUACAAAAGACAAAAUAUUUGAUUCACAGAAAAAGUAGGAGUCUAGGCGAGUGAAAGGGCAAAACGAAGACCCGGUCGAGGGCAACUAUAUUGGUAAAGAGCCGUUAAAAUGUGAGUCAUUCAUAUAUAGCAAUCAGAUUUAACUAUGGUUAAGUUAAUGUAACUAUAGUUCAUGCAUUAUCCUUUUAUAACUCACUGAAUAUCUUCAAAAUUAGAAUGAUAUUAUAUUUAUUUGGAACUGUAAAUAUAAUAAACCAUAAAAACACUGAACUUUUCAUUUUCUCUAUAUAUAAAUUUCAGAAAUGGUAAGAAAUAAGAAUAUUCCUUCAAAACAAUUUAUUUGUUAUAUAAUAUACCAAAAUAUCCUAUAUAAAUAAUUUUGGUUUCUAAAUACAUAUAAAACUAUAAUUAUCUGAAAAUUAUUUUCUUAUAAUGAUAUUUUUACUUCUAACUAUUGGUUUUGCACAGAUAAAUGAUCAAAUUAUUAUAUUUAGAUUAGUGAUUAUUUGUACUUUAUUAAUGUAAAAUUUAUCAAUAAUUGUAUUAUUUUUUCUUGCAAAUGUCACACACACACACAUAUAUAUAUAUAUAACCUACAAUAAUCAUCUUGAUUGUUUUGAAGGUAUAUGCGUUUGUGUUUUAUGCAAUUAUAAUUGGGUAUAUAUAUCUUUAUGUUUUAGUCUCAUAUAAUUAGGUUUAAAGAUACAAAUCAUCUAUACUAUUAUUUGCAAAGUAAUUUUUUGUAACAAAGCUAUCACGUUAAAAGUUAGAACGGCUAAAGUCUAUGUUACCUUUAAUGAAUUAUUAUAUAAUUAAAAAUGAAUUUAUAUUAAUAAUAUCAUUUUAAAAAGAUAACCUUAUAUAUAACUUUAUAUAUUAUGUUGUUAUCUUAAUGAAUAUAUAUAUAUAUAUAUAUAUAGUUAAAAAGAAUUUUAUAUGAAUAAUAUCAUAUUUUUAAAAAUAAGAUAAUCAUAUAUAUUGUGUUGUUAUCUUGAAAUAAUAUUUGUCUAUCAUAAAAUUUUCAAAUUAAGUUAUACAAAAAUUUAUAAUUUAUAGUCAAAUAUUAAUCAAGUAAUUACAUUUACGUAAAGAUAUUUUCUAAAAUAUUUUAAUAUUUGAGUGUUUUUAAUGAAAAACUUUAUCAUAUAUGAAGAAUCUGAUGUAUAAUUUAAUUUUUUUGAGACAUAAAUAAUAAAUUAUCAUGCUGAUUUGAUUUAAUAAAUAUUUGUAAGAAGAUUAUACCUGCAUAUGCAGAUAAAACAUCUAGUUCAAUAUGAUUUUGUAUUUCCUCAUUUUUUUCUAUUUCUUUUUGCAAAAUAAAUGAACCACUAAAUACCUAAUAACACUAAAAAGGAACUAUGAGAAAACCGUAUUGGCAAGGGUAGAACCACGUCCACAUGGUGUGCAUGUGGAUCUGUUUAACGAUAUUUUGAAGUUUUCUUAACGUUUUAGAACGGCAAUGAUUCAACCGUAUCUGGAAGUCACAACUCAAGAACUUGUACAUAUUUGUUAUCAAACUUAAAAAUGAACAUGCCCACAUUUAAUCUCUUUUUAUUCGCCGCUUCCAGCUAUAUAAAUAUGUUUGUUUUCACAUGUUCAUUACAUGUUAUAGUACUUAUUUUCAAUUAUUUUCCAAGUAGAUUCAGCACGUUCUUAGUUGUUUGGGAUUAUUAGUUUCACACUAUUGCAUUAUGAAUCUAUUGACGAUCUAUGAUGGUUCAUGUUUAUCUGUGCGAUAGAUGAUAAGAAGCUUGACACAUGCAAACAUGAACACCCAUCACUAAUUCUUUUAUUAUUAUAAAGUUUUAUAUUAAUAUUGUUGUGUCCGAUUAUAUGUCAGUAAAACUUAGAACUAUAAAUAACAUACGACGUUAGUCUCGCCGAAAUUUGUUCAAAAAUCUAUUACAUUUCAAGCUCAUCAGUUAAAGGACCUGGCUAGUUAACACCAAAUUAUCCUCACAUUAAUAGAAUAAUCUGUUAAUAGUCCAUAAAAUCGUCUCUUGUUAGGAACAAACAACUCUCUUCUAUACGAAAACUACCAUAUUAACACCUAAUUUAUCUUGAUCACUAACGUCAUUUCCUUCAAAAGUACUUUAAUUCUCAAGUCAGAAAUAAAUAUGAAAUAUACAAAAGUCAGGAAGGAUACUCGGCCAGAAUAUAUACCUAAGGGAAGAGUUUGUGGUUGUUUCUGUUAUAUUUGGAGGUUAAGAUAUCAAGCUAGCUUAUUUUUGCCUUGGAAGUAUGUUUUUCUUAGGACUGCUACUACUUUUGUAAGCUCCUUUCUUCAUUUAUAAUGAUAUUACAUUCUUAGCAAAAAAAAAGAUAACAAGCUAGCUUGAAUUAAUAUUCUGGGAGUAGGAAAGUUGCUUUAUUGAAAGGUUGCAUCAAAUUGACUGAAGUUGUCGGACUAGACAAAAUAAUGAUAAACUAUAUACAUGAAUGUCUAAGGUGAAAAUCUCAUCUAUAACUUUAUUAGUAAUUAAUUAACAUCUAAUCACUCUUUGAGAACCAUGUUCUUAUAAGACUAUCAACGAUGUUUUGGUUUAUUCAACACCCUACUUUUCUCUUUCUAACACUCUACAUCAUCUUCUUUCUCUUCCACAUAUUAUUCAACACUCAUUUCAUUUUUAUACUCUACAAUAGUUUUGUUUAAUAAAAUUCAACACCCUACUUUAUUAUUUUUAAUUCACACAUAUCAAUUAUAAUUUAGUAGCUACAUCAGCUAUUCAAGUUUGGUCAUUAUCAUCGACUCCAACAAGCCCUGAUAUAUUUCCGGUAUCGAGUGUCUACACAAAUAUAGAUUAUCUGUUUUGGAGGAAGAAUAGCAUCAUCGAGCCAGAACGAGACAGGGAUCUUUAUCCCUGGAUAUUAUGGUAUAUUUGGAAGGCUAGAAAUGACAAACUCUUCAGAGGAAUAGCUAGAGAUCCAUUGGAGCUAGUUCGACAUGCAGAGAGUGAAUGCCAAGCCUGGUUUGACGCUAACGAAGCGGUACAACCAGUGUUACAACCAGUGGUUCAAGAUAAUAUCCCUGAGAUAGCCCAAAUCAUACGUUUGGGUAAUAUUUGCUUGUUAGAUGGAUCUUGGACAUCUUCUGCUCACUUUAGUGGAUGCGGCUGGGUAUGGAUGGACAGUGACGGGAAUAUUCAACUUAUGGGAACAAAGAAUUUCACUCGACGUGAAUCAGCUUUGCAUUCGGAAGUAGAAGCACUGCGGUGGGUGAUGGAAAAUAUGCUUCAACACUCAACAUGCCAGAGCUUUGGGACAGACUGCAAGGAGCUGAUUGCAAUGAUGAAGGACCCUCAAGAUUGGCCAAGCUUUGCGACAGAAUUGGAGAGGAUAGAGACAUUACAAAUAUGCUUUCCGAACUUCAGCAUCAUUCAUGUUCCAUGGGCGCGCAAUCAGAUUUCAGAUUUUUUUAGCUAAGACUGCAAGAUCCUUCCGUAGGGAGUUACUUUUUAUUGGUUGUUCUAUUCCGGUUUGGUUACCCAGACCACCUCAAGUUUGAGUAAUAGAAUGGUCUUUUGACGUAAAAAAAAAAAAAAUUUAGUAGCUACAUAUUAAUAAUUAUUUAAGAUAUUAACAGAUUAUAAUGAAUAUCUAUUUAGCAAAAAAAAAAGUUUAAGAAUACCAAAACACUUGGUUAAAAAUAAAAAAAAAUUAUAAAGAAAAAGUGACGUUUUUAAUAUAUAUCCAAAUUAAAUGAAAGUAAUCUCUAUUUACAGACUAUAAGAAAUGAGGAAUUUUGCUAUAAUUUUUAGUUUUUUAAAAAGUUAUGUUUUUAUAAAAUAAUUGAAUUCUAAGAAUAUGGUAAAAAUAGAAAAACACUAAAAUGUAGACAACCAAUGAGAAUAUAAUAUAUAGCAGUGUGGGUCCUAUCUUUUUUUUUUUCAACAUGUUGAAGUUGUUCAAUGGGUGUUUACUUCACCUGUAUUUUUUUCUUAAUUCAACACCCCACUACAUUGGUUUAAGCUGUUGAAAUAUUUAUUCAAGAGGUCCAUUGUAAAUGGUCUAACAUGGAUAAAUAUGUUUUUAGCAAUUUAAUUUCAAACAUGAAUCGAAUUUAAAAUCGACAAGUUUACGCUUAACUUUCUUCGUUUCACAUGGCUCUUGGUUCAAAUAAUUUGAAUCUUACAAGCAGUUUGUCUGUUGGUCGAGCGAUUAAACGUGGUGUGAGAUUAAGAAUAUGAGGUGUUAUGUUCGAUAUUUCUAUCAUAAUAUAAUCCAAUACGUAAAAAAUUCUCAAGACUGUAGAAAAACUUUGGAAUACUUCUUUCUGUUUGAUAACCCCAUCACAAAAACACAAGGCCAAAAGUCUUAGAAUGAAGUAUGUAUAACUUAAUCUGUAAGGGCUUUUGAGUGUUAGAAAAUUAAGCAAUCGUUACAUAAUGUUUGGCAUUAAGCUCUUUGCUGAUACUAACAUUCCCUCUAGGAAAAUUGGGUUCAGAAACAUUUCCUACACCACAUAACAUUAUAGCAUGUCAGGAUUCACGAAUACAUUAAUUCAGCCUAUGAAAACACUUGUGUUCUCAAGUCUUUAUAGACUAUAGAUUUAGUUACAUUACUCCGUUUUUUACAUGACUUUUUUUACUAGUAAAACACAACCAAUGAAAUUUGAUGUACGGUUGAGACGUUGCAAGAAUCUGGAUGCAAAUUUGGAAUAGAUCUUUUAGGGUUUUUCUCGAGCAAAAAAUCUCAAAAGCUCUUCCAAAAACAAAAUCUCAAAAGCAUACAAUCCAAAGCUUGUAACUGAGGCAAUUGGGACAAGUGGCAAUAUGGGACAAGCCACUCAUCUAACCGGUAAACGGACCGACAUUAGACAUUAGACAUCAGCAUGUGUCGUCAAGCAUCCACAUGGUGCUCUCUGGUUGGUUAGAUCUCAGAUUACGUAGUUGUAAUACCAGUAGAAGAUCUAAUAGCAUGAUCUAACACGUGUCGACUUUUCUUUCGUGUUCAGACUUCAGAUUGGCCUUUAGGAUCGGAUUAGGUGUACAAUUAGAUUCUCCCACUCUUCCCACUAUUUUCCUAAUCCGUUGUUUCAUCAUAUAUGUCGGAACGUAAGAUAUUUUCUCAGUUAUCUAAUAGUAUUAGAUAUUACUAUUACCUUUUUGCCCCAAAAGAUCUUUUAAUAUUGCAAUAAUUUAAUAAAAUAUGAAAUUAUAUGAUUUGAUAACCAUUGAAUAAUCCGAAAUAUUUAGAGCACCAUAAUCUAUAUUUUAGAGAGUUUCUUACAUACAAUAUAAUAAAAUAGAAAAUAUGAAUAAAAAGAGAGAAUCAUUUUCGGAGAAAACUAUAGAACAAAGUUCAUAAAAAAAUGUGUAUGUGUCACAAACAUCUUUACAAAGCACACUAGCUUAAUCUAAGGGAAAAAACGUUUUAUUUUUUUUUCUUUAACUAACAAAUGUUUUAGUUAUGUACUAUGUAUUAUUUGCACACAAAGCAUAAUUAACUAUUUUUAUUUUUGUAUGUAGUAAUAUUUCUGCCAACUUUUAAUGGAGUAGUUUACGUUAAAAUCCAAUAGGUUGAUAAAAUGUUAAAUAAUGACGUGGAACUUUGACUUGGAAAAUCAAAGUUGGGAGAAGGUUUGGAGUUAUAAGAAGCACGAGCAUUAUCAAAAAGUGUUAUAUGUGAGUUGUUCUUUCCCAACGCUGACCACGCAAGGAUAGACAUACGUAUCUUGGUCCAUACAAACACCUCAGCAAACACACACACACACACAUAUAGACCUAUAUAUAUCUUCCCCUUCAUGUCCUAUGAACACAAACAUUUCAGAGCAACGGUUGAUAGGUUAACACACAAACAUACAUAAAUGCCGAGUUACAUUUCCUUCAUCGUGUUGCUCUACAUAUUUCUUUUAUCUUUUUCUCCCCAAACGACCUUUGUCAAUGCAUCUAGACCAUUAUGGGUAUCCAAUAAGUCAGGCCACACGAGCUUGAAUACAUUUUACACAAGCGGUAGUGAGCAAGGCAAACUUCACGAUGGAGCGAUGAAUGAUUGUCUGCCAAAGGGAUUUCGCUUCAACUCUGCUCCUAGCCGCUACAUAAACAGCCAUGCUUUAGGUUCAACACUAUGUUCUACAACAACUAAAGCCAUUCAUAAGCCAUAAAAUAAUUAAUAAAGGCUCUAGGCAUCUCAUGAAUUUAUAUAUUUCACCUUUGCUUGGGUUUAGUUCUUGAAUAACCCAUGUAUGUAUUCCUUAAUUUGUUGUUGUGCUUGUAUUAUUGUAUAUAUAAUAUUAUCAAGCAGUACUGUCACAUAGAACAUAUAUGAAAAAAAAUUAUACUGUUGUUUCUUUUAAGCGUUUUCUUGCGAAUAUGUAUAUGGUUUUAUGGUGAUUUUGUAAGAGACCCAACACACCAUUGUUUUUUUUGUUUCACAAUCACUGUGUAAAGCGUAUGAACCCCAUGCACAACCAUGGUUACACAGAUCAGUCACUACCAGUACCACACAAACUUAUCUAAGCACAAUUUCAAUCUAGAUCAACAUUAUCAAUCAUUUAGUAUUCUUCUUAGUUCUUAUUGCUUUACAAACUUUGCCAUUAUUUUCUCUUUUUUUUUUUGAUCAACCCAUUACUUUCUCUAUAUAACUCAAUAGAUGGACAAAAGAAAAAUAAAACACCACUCUCUUUUUUUUUUUUUUUUUGGUCAAAAAAACACCACUCACUCUCUGUGAACGCUAAUAACAAGUAAAUCUUUUUUUAAUCAGAUUAUGCAGUCCAGACCAAAGUAAUAUCUUGUUCUUAAUCUGCAACUAUUUUGUUACUAGUAUUUAAGUUGUAAGAAGAUUUGAUGAAAUGGUACCCAAAAUGAGAAAAUCCCAAGAAACAUGCAAACAUAUGUUCCCUUUUUUUUUCUUAUUGAACACCAUAUGGUCCCUUUGUUAUGUAUCAGUAUUACUAAUUAAUAAAGAAAUUUAGUCCCACACCCAAAAUAAAUCUUGUAAUGUUUUUCCUUUUUUAAACACAUAAUCUUGUGAUGUUAUUACUUGCAAAUUGUACAAUACAUCAAGAAACUUUGCAAUUAUUUUUCAUCUAAAAAAAACUUUGCAAUUAUUUUUUUUAACUUGUAAAAUACUUUAAUACAUAUGAUUUUAUAUAUUAAAAUUUUGCAAAUUAGUUACGGCUUGAUAGUUGACAAAAAAAAAAGUUACGGCUUGAUAAAUAAAAAUAAAUAAAAGUAAGAGCCUUUAAAAUAAAACUCGAGAAUAGUUGGCAAAGUCAAGGACGAUCCUUCUUCUUCUUCUUCCUCGACUCGCUGCCAUCAAACCCCCAAAACUUGGAUUCGAUCUCUCAGCUCUAUAAUCUCAUCAAUUCUCUAUAUAGGGAUAAGCUAUGGGAUGUGCUGCUUCUCUUCCAGGCAAGUUUUCUCCUUUUCGUUUUCCUUUUCUUUCUCCGUUUUGUUGAAUUUAUCAUCCUCGGUGCUCGAUUACAAGUGAGAAGAACCUAUUCGCAAGACCCUCGAGUCCAAUUUCGGGAAAGGCGAAUCCUUUGGGGUUGAAUUAGAAGCUUUCGCGAAAUUAGGGAUUGCGAAUUAUCAUUUGCGUCUUUUUUUUAGGGUUUCCGUGUGAAGAAUCUGAGAAACCAAAUCGGUUGAUGUGUGUUUGUGUUUGUGUUUCAGAUAGGAACUCUGGAGCUUUAAACGGUCUUACUAGUUCAGAGAAUGCAGCUCCAGCAGAUGCUAAGAAUCUACGCGUAAAGGUGCCAUCUUUGUGCUCUCCUUGGUAUCACCUUUGUUGCUAGACUGAUUCCUUAGAGACUUAGUAAAGAUACCUAAGUGGAGUUCUACAGCUCAGAAAGUUCAUGCUUUUUUGUGAUCUUGGUCUUUUAUACUUUGAUUUGUUAGUGAUGGAGUGAGUAUUCUUUAUAGAAUGGUGGAAUGUUAGCAAUAAACCCUCAACUUUCUUCUCUCUAUAGCUAAGUAUAAGCGAGUGACUGUAUUGCAUUAUCUUCUUGGAGCUGUGUUUGAGACUCUUAUGCUACUGAAAGAAAAUGGCUUCUCAUUAGCCUGUGUAGUGUAGUUUGUCUCUCGUGUUUCCGCAAGGCAGACUUGCUAACUUUUGGAUUCACUUGAAUGCAGUUAGUUCUUUUAGGAGAUUCUGGUGUGGGUAAAAGCUGCAUUGUCCUUCAAUUUGUCCGUGGUCAAUUUGACGCAACAUCUAAGGUAAAUAAAACCUUUUUAUCUAAUCGUCACCUGAAACUUCCUUUAUGGUAUCAAAUUGUUCUUAACUGCCAUUGAAUCUCAAAAACAAUUAUUAUGUCUCAGGUAACUGUUGGAGCUUCAUUCUUGUCCCAAACAAUAACCUUGCAAGACUCUACCACAGUGAAGUUUGAAAUCUGGGAUACAGCAGGGCAAGAGAGGUGUUAAGUCCUCCAUGUAGAUUGGUGUUUCUUAGUUAAUUGCCUUGCAUGCUCGUUAAAGCUCAAUAUGUGUUCACUUGAUUAUUUUUUUGAAAGGUAUUCUGCUCUUGCUCCACUAUACUACCGUGGAGCUGGAGUUGCUGUUAUUGUGUAUGAUAUAACAAGCCCUGAAUCGUUCAAGAAAGCUCAGUAUUGGGUUAAGGUAUGUUUUCAUGUAACCCAAAGGGUUCCAUUUCUUAUAUGUUUUUGGGAUUGAUGCUUAUAGCUUGUGAACCAAAUGACUGGAGAACUGACUUGCAGAAAGUCAUAUAUGACCAUAGAAGAGUAGAACAAUUGCAAUACAAGUGUUAUAUCAUAUAUUUCCUUUGUUUUUAACCAUGCCAUUUAAAUCUAACAGGAACUGCAGAAGCAUGGAAGCCCAGACAUUGUUAUGGCUUUGGUUGGUAACAAAGCUGAUCUACAUGAAAAAAGAGAAGUACCAUCCGAGGUGAGUUUUUGCAUAAACUUCUUUAAGUAGAUAUACAUUUUGUUGUCACUUGCACGGUUCUUGCUUCUUCAGCGUAGGGGUGUCACAUUCUCAAUUUUGUAACAGGAUGGUAUGGAGCUUGCAGAGAAGAACGGCAUGUUCUUCAUUGAAACGUCAGCUAAGACGGCCGAUAACAUAAAUGAACUGUUUCAGGUGUGCAUUUCUUUAUCCCCUCAGGAUUUAUGACCAGCUGUUUUGUCAUCUGCAUUGAUUGAGCUCUUGUGAUUUGUUUUAUUUUCAUUGCUUUGGACUUUGGAGAAUGAGUAUAAGUUGAUAGGGAGUGAGAUCUUUGUUCUUUUUAUUUGUCUAAGCUACUUCUAAAAAUUCAGAGAAAACUGAGUAGGAGAAGAAUAAUAGUUUCAGGUGUAGAAAGAAUGAUUGAUUGUGAAUCAGGUUUUGAUGUUUUGUACAUGUUUGUGUGAAUAGGAAAUUGGAAAGAGGCUACCUCGUCCUUCUCAACCAUCAUCAUGAUUGGAGUGUUUGGAUCAUCCCAUCUUCAGUGAAAAGCUUAAACCUUUCUCCUGGUUACUAAUCUUUUACUUACUUUCAUGUAAUGUUAUUAAACGGUAUUUUAUUAUAUAUGUUUUAAGUGUGUUGUGUAAUACGAAGAUUCGAGGUUGAGAAGCCUUAAUUAAAUUAAGCAAUGAUGGGGGAUUAUCACAUGUACAUUUAUAUCUACUAUAAGAAAGAGAACGUAGCAGCUACUCUACAGAAACGAAUCUAUUGAAAAGGAAAAUUUGACCAUUUCAAACAAGACUAGCAUAUUAAAUCCUCUACUCAGACACGCCUCACAUGACCUGAUUCUACAUACUCGGAGUUUGUCAUGUCAUGUGUAUUCAUUUAUAACUAUGUUAGCUAGUGACAACUAGUUUUGACUUCUGAUUGUUUGUGCAUCCACAACUCACACACGUAUAUUUCGAAAUCCAAAAUUGAAUCUUGAAUCUGACGUGACACUAGUAUUUUAAAAAUUGGUUUAGUCAUCGGAACAAAACAAUUUUUUUUCAAACUGAUGUUUUAAAAACCGGUCUAGACGUAAAAAAAAAUUCAAUCUAAAACCCCCACUAAAUACUCACCUAAAUAUUAAUCUUUUAUAAAAACCGAAUUUUAGAAGACAGACAAACAAGUUAGAUGAUGCUUAAAUAAAUAGAAGAUAGUAACUAAAAAGAAAAAAAUCUGAUUGGUUCAAAAAGGGACAACUUGUGGCUUUUUUCAGACAGAGAAGACUUUAGGUGUUUGUUUAUUUUAUUGUCACGUUGGUAAGGAAGGAUUAAGCGAUAACUGUUGUUUUUUAUUAAGGGGUCUUAAUGGCUCCAUCGCAUUCUUCCUCCCUUUAACCAUCUUCUUCUUCUUCCUCCUUUGGAGCUAUCUCCAGGAUGGGAUCAACGAAUGGUUCCGAUGAGGAGCUCAUGAGUCGUCUCGUUGACUCCGUCAAGCAAAUUUCAAAGUUCUCCAAUUCCAAAGGCUUCUUCGGGAGGAUCCAAGGCGAUCUCGUCCGUAGGAUCACCCUUCUCAGCCCUUUCUUCGAGGAAUUAAUCGACAUCAACGCUGAGUUGAACGAAGAACAACAACUCACAGGUUUUGAGGUUAUGAGGAUCGCUCUCGAUUCAAGCUUAGAGCUUUUUCGAUCUGUCAAUGGAGGCAGCAAACUUCUUCAGGUUUUUUUCUUUUACUAUUUCUUCCUUAAAGAUUCUCUCGUUGGUCGCUUGCAAAGUUAGCAGCUUUCCUCUGUUUUCUUAGGGUUUAAGAUACUUAACCAAUAUCAAGAACAAGAAAAGGUUGACUCUUUUCAUGUUUUGUUUGUCCUCUCUGUGCUGGCAGAUCGUCCAUAGGGGUUCUAUUAUGCAGAAGUUCCACGACGUGACAGUGGAGAUAGAAGCAGCCUUAACUCAGAUCCCUUAUGAUCACUUCGAAGUCUCCGAGGAGGUCAUAGAACAGGUUCUUCUCAGCGCAUUUGUUUUUUUUUUUCUCUCGUUUGGCUUUGGCCACAAUGGUUUGCAAAUUCUAAUGAUAUUAUCUCUUUUGAAUUUGUAGGUCAAGCUUCUGCAUUCUCAAUUCAAGAGAGCAACAGAAAGACAAGAGGACUAUGAUCUGCAGCUAAGCCAUGAUCUAGCCGUGGCAGAGAGCGUGGUAGAUCCUGACCCUGAAACCCUCAAAAGACUGUCGCAAGAGCUCCAACUCAGCACUAUUGAUGAGCUCAAGAAAGAAUCUCACGCCAUUCACGAGUACUUUCUUUCGUAUGAAGGGGAUCCAGAUGACUGCUUUCAGAGGAUGUCCUCUCUUCUUAAAAAGCUGGUAGACUGUGCAUCAACUGAAAGUUCGGAACCGGAUGCAUCUACUGGCAGCAAAGUCAUUUCGAGACAUCGGUCUCCUGUUAUACCAGAGUACUUUCGGUGUCCGAUAUCACUUGAACUGAUGAAAGAUCCUGUCAUCGUCUCCACUGGACAGGUCUGCUUUUGCAUUGUAGUGAGUUUGGUUCAUUACAUUUGUGUAGUGCUGGGCAUUUUGGGUUAUUCGGGCAGGGGACAGGGGUGUUUAGGACCUGUUUAGGAACCGGACAAUUUUUAGAUCGGUUUGGGUUGGGUUUCUAUUUUUAUAAAACCCAAAGUGGAACCGAAAUAAUUUGUGUUUGGUUUGGGUUUAAAGUCCGAAAAUCAAAAAAACUUCAAAAACCCUGAAAAAUAUUCAAAUAAUUCGGGUUUUGGAUAUUUUUAUUUCUAAAUUGUAUUAUAUAUAUAUUAAAAAUAAUUAAUAUUUUAUUAUAUUUUGAAUAUUCGAGUACCUCUUUGGUUUUCUGUUCCAGUCGGUUUCGGUAUUUCGGGUUUAGAAAAAAUAGGAAUCCUUUGGGUUUCGGUUUUAGUUUUCUCGGUUCAGUUGGUUUUUGGGUUACUGUAAUUUGCCCAGGACUACAUUUUUGUAUGCAUUUGUUGUUUUAGCUGGUUUUUUCUCGACCUUGCAGACAUAUGAGAGAUCAUCCAUACAGAAGUGGCUAGAUGCUGGUCAUAAAACCUGUCCGAAAUCUCAGGAGACACUCUUGCAUUCCGGAUUAACACCUAACUACGUGCUAAAAAGUCUCAUUGCUCUGUGGUGUGAGAGCAACGGUAUCGAGCUUCCGCAAAACCAAGGGAGCAGCUACAGAACCACAAGACCAGGAGGAGGUAGCAGCUCUUCGGAUUGUGACCGAGCAUUUGUCCUCGCCUUGUUAGAGAAGCUGGCCAACGGAUCUACAGAACAGCAAAGAGCUGCAGCUGGAGAGCUUCGGUUACUAGCCAAGAGGAACGCGGACAACAGAGUCUGCAUCGCUGAGGCUGGAGCCAUACCGCUCCUCGUUGAGCUUCUAUCCUCACCGGAUCCUCGGACUCAAGAACACUCCGUGACGGCUCUUCUGAAUCUUUCUAUAAACGAAGGCAACAAAGGAGCCAUUGUUGACGCAGGAGCUAUCACAGAUAUAGUGGAAGUGCUUAAAAACGGAAGCAUGGAGGCUAGAGAGAACGCAGCCGCGACGCUUUUCAGUUUAUCUGUUGUAGAUGAGAACAAAGUGGCGAUAGGUGCUGCUGGAGCUAUCCAAGCUCUUAUAAGCUUGCUUGAGGAAGGAACAAGAAGAGGGAAAAAAGACGCGGCAACUGCUAUAUUCAAUCUGUGCAUAUACCAAGGGAAUAAAUCAAGAGCCAUUAAGGGAGGUAUCGUUGAUCCUCUGACAAGGUUACUGAAAGAUGCAGGUGGAGGAAUGGUGGAUGAAGCUUUGGCUAUCUUGGCGAUACUUUCAACGAACCAAGAAGGGAAAGCAGCUAUAGGUGAAGCAGAUACUAUUCCUGUUUUGGUUGAGAUUAUAAGGACAGGGUCACCGAGGAACAGGGAGAACGCUGCAGCUAUACUUUGGUAUCUAUGUAUUGGGAAUAUGGAGAGGUUGAAUGUAGCGAGAGAGGUUGGUGCAGAUGUUGCGUUGAAGGAGCUUACUGAGAAUGGGACUGAUAGAGCUAAGAGGAAAGCUGCGAGCUUGUUGGAGAUCAUUCAGCAACUCGAAGGUGUUGUGAUAUCUACUGUUCCAUGAAAGGCUUGCUCUUUGUGGAAAUCUUAUUUGUUUCAGUAUAGAUUAUAUAUGUAUAGGAAGCUUUUGGAUUGACUCUGACUAAAGAAGCUUAUGUAAUGUCUACUCAGUUUUGUGUAUACAAUAAAACCUCUUUAAUUAGUAUUUGUUAGUAGUGUAAGAUAAUAUUCUCUCUGCUCGUUAUUGCAUUCUGGUCAUCUGUUGUUAAGUUGAAAUGAAAAUAUGCAUCAACAAAUAUAUUACUGAUUUGUAUAUAAAAGAUCAUACUGUCUCUCACCACAAAAGAAAAACAUAUACGAGAACAUUUGAAUACCAUUCACUCUGCAACCAAAACGAUCCAGAAGAAGAGUCACAAAGACAUAAAAAGACAAUAAAUAAACACACAAUAGCACUCGAGAGAAAAGAUAACGCUCUCUUACGGAUCAGCCUUGUUUAUCCAUGAAUGUUUCUAUUAGUGUUGCGCCAUUGAUGAUCUUUGUUGUAGCAAUAAUCAAAUCAUAAGCCAUUCCUUCCUGAAAAAGAAGCAAUUGAAGAAGGAAGGCUUCAGCAAAAGAGUGUCUUUUAAUCAUAAACUCUUGGAAGUUUGCAUAUUACCUUGGAGGCGAGAAACCGUAGGGCAGAGAUUUCAGCAAAUGUUACACCUCCAAUGAAGACAACAAGAACAACUGAGCGUCUUCCAUCAGCAACCCUGUAAUGAUGUUGUAACAUAAAUGUUUUAUCCUUCUGUAGAAACUACUUUUGUGGUAUCGAACUAAUUGAUAAUGAUAAUAAACUUUACCCAUUUGAAGCUCCAUGCAAUGAAUCAACUGAUGGACUACUUGGGAAUCCACUCUGCAUAGAGAUGGUACAUAAUGUGAUCACAAAAUAGUCGAAAACAGAAAAUACAAUAGCAUAACAAAACAAUUCUUUUUUUUUUCUCCAGUUGGGUAAACGUGUACUGACUCUUUUAGUUUCCAGAUGUGGUCCUGGCAACAGCUUCAAAAUGUCUUCUAUUGGACGCCUGUAAGGUAGAUUGAGGACUCAUUAAUAUUAAACACAUCACUCUGUCAACAUUCAUAUAUGAAUUAAUAAAUGUUCUUUCAAGUUCUGAUAUUUGCUGAGUUCUUCUGUGCAUGUCACUUAAUGCUUCUCAACUCGAAACUGAACAGAAUUCUAGACUUUUUCUCUUCAUGGUUAUAUUAAUAUAUAGAAAAGCCCAAGUGUUAUUUUAUACACAGGCUAGCUAGUCAACAUUUUGGUCUAGAAGAGUGCAAGAACAUACUAACCAUCCGGAAUGUAUAGCUUGUUGGACAAGACGAAUGCUAAGAGGAGCAUAUCCAGAAUAGACAUAAGCGAUAUCAACCGGCCUGCAACAAGAACAGUGUUUCAAACAACUCAAAUAAGCACUAAUUUUAUUUCUUACGAUUAGAAAAAGUUUGGUACAAGGCCUAGCAUAUCAGGUGAAUGAAGGUAACAUAUGACAUGAUAUCACAAAUGCAACAUAUGGAAAGUGAUGACGUAAAACCAUAAAUGCACAGAAUACAACACAAUAGACAAACAAGGAGGAAACAGAUUGCAAGUCAAGAAAAAGGGAGAGUCCUCAUAGAUAAACAAAAUUUGCAAGUCAAGAGCGAGCUUUCGAGCCGGGCUUUAGAAGAUACCAGAGAUAUCUUCGAAAACAAAAAUAUUCAGCCAGAGCUGUAACUAAAUCAUGCAUUAGCGAUAAUGAAGGUAUUGUCAAAUAUUGUAGUUGGAAAAUCAGCUUUCAGGUUUUAUACGUUCAUUCAAGAUUACGUUUGCAUAUUUUCUGAACUAGACAUCUGGACCCGCUUCAUAAGCGUAACCCCAUAAACAAAAAUCAUGCCAUCAUGUAUUCAGUUGGUGACAACAUGACUAAAAAGAAUAUUUACCUUGACGUAUCUGUGUCUUCAACUAUAAGUUUCAUUGUACGUUUCACUGUCUGCCAGUUGCUUUUAAACUCCUGUAGAAACCAAACGAAUGUACAACAACCCCUUAGAAUAUCAGACACACUUAACCCCAAUAAACAAGAAGAUUGUUCAUCCCACAAAGUAGCCAAGAAUAACCAAACCUGUUUCUUCAACAAUCCUGCUUUUUCCAAGUUGUUCAAUACGUUCACAUGCUCAAACCCAUAACUGUGGAGUAGUUCCGUUCUGGAAGUUGAGACACGAAGACAAGAUAUCAUUCAAAAAGCAGAAAAAUUAAAUAUAAAAUACCGAUGAUUGCUGGAAGCUAGCUUGCCUUAUAUAAUCAAAUUGCUUUUUCGGUAACCCUGAGUUUGUAAUAGAAAAUAGGACCAAUAGUCGCAGGACUUUAGUGAGAGGCUCCUGUUUAUGGAUCAAUUCUUCUAUGUACUCAAAGCAUCUGUAUUAACAAACUAGAGUUAGUAAUAAUAAAUCAUAUAACAGACUUUUCCAUUAUGCCAUCAACGUAAGAUGUUUUCCACAUCACUUGUAAUAGAAAGAAUCAUCAAGAUACUUUUGAAUGGAAGUAUUAAAUUCAAUUUCCUUAAGAAGAAACUUACAUGUCAUAACUUUCUGCCUCAACUAGUGUUUGUUCCAUGUCAAGCUGCGAAAGAAAUGACUGCUUGGACGUGAAUGUUGUCAGGUGCUGAGCAAGAUGUAUGUGCCUCUGGGAAAGAAAAAAAUCAUACAAAAUCAAGUUAGGAUGAAACUUAUCGUUUUCUGAACCAUCUGCGAGAUAAAACAAAAGGAACUUUAAGAAAACAAGGCAAUACUUACUGUCAUCUCUGGUAAUGAGUUAAGCUUCUUGACAAAGUCCUUUAGCUCAGAAACUGUCUGGGUCUGUGUAUUAUAUUAUCAUACACCAUUAAAAUCUCGGUCCAACUAAUAAUCUAAGUUUAAAAUGUAUGGAUAGGCUGAUAGUUCCUAAGGAAUACAUGGUCUAUAUUAAUUUGGUAACUAUUUAUGUGCCAAAGAAUACUCCUGAAUCCUGAUCGAGUCUAAGAGAUCUGACCACAAAUAUGUAUGUACCAUAACCUCUACCGCGAAAACAAGACUACCUAAAGGGAGAGAGCGACAAAACAAACGUACAGAAUUAAUUUCAGUAUAGUCCUCCUUCAUGGUUGUUGCCUUCUGCCGUAGAACCUGCAAUCAUACCGCGUCUGUAGUUGAGUAAAAAGAAUCCCAUUUAACGCAAAAAAUGAAAGCUAAAAGGACAAACGUCAACCUGCACAACGACUUCAAAGUUGAGAUCCCUCGUCUCCUUGAACAAUUUAUCACUGUAAAUUUAAACAUUCAAGCAAUAAAUUUAUGAAAGACAUAGAUAGGCACAGUAGCUUGGAAAGUCCAAUCUAGCUACCAGUUUAGGGAGCGAUUUUGUGUGCAUAAUCAAUUAAUACACAUUAAUAUCAACACAACAGUGUGCUUAUCCAAUCCAAGAAAAUCACAAUUUCUAUUCCAUGCAUCAAAAAUACUCACAAAAAUCAUAUAGCAAUGCAGUAGAAAUGGUCUCCUACGGUUGAAGAAAUUUGUAUAUACGAUGCAAGAAACUAACCUUGAAUUAAGGGGAACCUUCAUCUUUUUCCCCUCCUGCUGAGAACCCAUCACAGACGAGUCGACCUCGACAGCUCCAUUACUGAUAUGCAAAAACUUUAAAUAGGGGUUGGAGUCAGCUCACAGAAAACCCAAUCGACCAGCUUGAUUAAAAUCCAAAUUGUAUGGUUGUUUGUUAUCAACCAAUGAAAUUAAGUAGGAUAAUGACAAUCGUUUGUGGCAUUACCUCGUUUAACAAUCCUUCAUAAGUUAACUGGGUACACAUUGGUGUAACCAUAUCAACCUGAAACAGAAAGUAUUAAAGUCAAUCAGAAUGUACUUUUGAAAGAUAUCUUUGUGUUGAAGGAUGUCAUAUAAUUGGGAAACGCAUGAUAAUCAUACCUCUCUAUCCAACAGAAUGAGUGUAUCUACUUCAGGCCUUCCCACCUGGAAUAGAACUUGCGUCAUUUAGAAUAGUGACCAAAGGAAACAAAAUCAUCUGAAAAAUAUAAGAUAUCGAAGUCAUUGAAUAUUAAAGCACUCAAAAUGCUGCAGGCAAAUUUUUACAUCAUUGGUAUUGACAGGUUCCUCCACUUGCAUGCGGUUAAGUAUAUCUGCAACACGAACUGAUCCUUUGCCCUUUGCCCUCACUUUCGGUAUAACUCCAAAAGAAAACUAUGAUAGGUGUCAGCCAUGAGAAAGCACAAUGUGGAUCAUAACGUAAAGAAUAAGGAAAGAUUCAAACCUCGAGCUCAUGUAUUGCUUUUGCAACAUGCCAAAGUGAGCUAACAUCACCAUCGACAAGGCAAUCCUAUCAUUUUGAAAAACAAGAAAUAUGUGAGCUUAAGGCCUCAAGGGAAAUGGUACAUGAAGUAAUAAGUACAAAUUGGACAUAUGCGAGUUGUACACACUUUUUCACAGAGCUCAAGCUCAAAAGAUAUCACAUCCUCAUCCAGUGGAACCAUAUACAGAGGAAACUCCUUCACGGUAACCAGGUUAUGAACUUUUUCCUGCUCAAGAAUCUGAAAUAGCAGGAUAAGAUAUUUAUCACCCUUUAUUCAAGAGGUAGUAAGAACAAUGAAAAUGAAUCACAAAGAGUCGAAGAAGAUGGCAAUAACCACACACCUUCUCACACGCGACAGACCUACGAGGAACAAAGUAAACGUAGUAGUCUCUCUGAAUCGCUUUGGAAAUAUCAUUCUGAAUGUGCGAAGCUAUGUGUUUCAUAAAACUGAGUUGAGAUCGAACAAGAUAGACCACUUUCGUGCAUUCAGUCUGAACUGGUUCUUCAGAAAGAUGUCGUAAUUCCAAACCAAGUUCCUGUUAAGCAGAAGACCACUAGUGUUGAAACAAUACUCUCAACCAUUAUAAGAAGAAAAUAAAUAAUCUCAUUUCUUCCUUUCCUAAACAGACUAACAGAGUAAUCAAUCUAAAGUCAUUUAAACCUGGCAUUACCUUAAGUGUGGAAGUCUGGAUGAUCAAUGAAACGGAACCGCUUAGCUUUGGAUCAAUAACCAGACACUUAGUUCCACGAAUCUACAAAAAGGCACCAAAGAGAGAAGACAAAACAUUAGUUGUGUUCCGAAAGCUCUUUUUCUACCCAAAAUGUGAAAUUGGUAACUGAUAACAACAACAAUGCGAAUCAUAUCGAAAGAGAGAGAGUAACGAGACUUACGUCUUUAAGCAAGUUUACGAGCUCCCUCUGAGACUUCUCCCUGAAUUAGAAUUGAGCAAAACAUAUGAGAGGAGAACGAGAAAACGAUCAAUUUAAGUAUUGAAAAUGGACUCUCACCUAAUGGAUUUGAGAUUGAGAGGAGCAUUCUCCAAGUUAGGGAUCUGCGCCAUGGAAGACGAUCAGAGAUGAUCGGACCUGUUCGACGUUUCUCUGUUUUUUUUUCCUUCACCGUGCGACCGCAAAGGACGAGCACGGUGGAGAAGAUAGUUAGAAACACUAAAUGGGCCUCAUAAGUCUGUAUAUGGGCUUUUACAUCUAAGCUUAGAAGCUGGGCUUGGUCUUGUUCUGUGAGUGGUGUUAAUUUGCUCAUAUGUUUUUGUCAAACGUUAUUAAUUUGCCCAAAUGUUUUCAUCAACGAUGUUGAUAAUGUUCAAGAUUAAUGUACAUGAGAAUGUUUUAUAUGAAACAAAUUUCAAAUAUAUUUCAAACUGACUAAGCAGAGUCAGUUUAUUUUUUGCAUUGGAAAAUCUGGUACUACUUGGAAAAUUUUAGAGGAACAAAUUGACAACAAGAAGACGUACGAUAGAUAUACGUCACUGGUACAAAGGGUCUCUCAUGUGUCAAAAUAUGUGAGUUUACAGAUGUUGAGGUAGACAAGGCCACGUCCAUCAUGAAGAUGUUGAGGGGGAAUCAUCAUGAAGAAUGCUAUGAGAGUGUACGUCCAUAAGAAUCUGGGAUCCACUCUAUAUUGUUUGGUAUUCAUAUGAAGUUAUGGACCAUUGAUGUGUUGGACCCGCUGCUACUUAUAAUGAAUUCAUGAGUUUAUAAAUAAAAUAAGCAACCCUACAUUUUUGUUCGUUUACUAUUAGGCAACCCUAGACGUAUUGCUUCCACACUACAAAAAAACAGGCGAGAAAAACGAAUUCCCAACGAAUUUGUUUGCGAAAUACUCCCUCCGUUCUUAAAAAAUCCAUGUUUUAGAAAAAAAAAUUGUUUCAAAAAGAUACAUUUUUUAUAUUUUCAAUACAUAAAUUAAAUGUAAAUUGUAAACUUCAAAAAACAUAAUUGUAUUUAUUAAAAUUCUAUUGGUGAAAACUUGUGGGAUAUAGUUGAUUACGGAAAAUAAUGUAUUGGUUACUAAAAUUUGAUAUAUUUUCUUAAUAAAUAUGAAAAUCUUAAAAUAUGGAUCUUUUAAAAACAAAGAGAGUAUAACGUAGGUCGGAUUUCAUGAAAUUAAACCGUCUAAUGCAAUGGUUGAGGAAAAAUAGAUUGAGAUAUAUAUAUUCGAGAAAAUAGGAAUGAAACUUUAUUCUUUGAAGAUAUAGACAUAGGCAAUAGUUUCGAAGAUAUAUAACACUAUACUAUACGAUAGUUCUCGUGGGGAAAUAAGUAGUUGUUCCACAAAUUUGUUGUCGAAUUUUCCGAUAGACAUGCGUUUCUUUAUUGUUUUUUUUUCUUUCAAAUUUGUAGAGAGUAUUAGUAAUAUAAAAAUAUUCAAUUUCAAAGAUUUUGACGAAUUCACCACGGAGUGAUAACGAGCAGCCAGUACCUGUCCGAUUAAUCAAUUAUCUAGGGCGAGUUUUUGAACAUUGUACUCAUCUUAUACCAUUAGAUAAAUUCAUUAACUUGUAGUUUUGUACUGUUUAUAAUGUUUUAGUUAAUUUAUAUUUUCAUUUGCAUAUAAAUUAUAAAUUAUAUUUUUAUAUGCUUUUUUUUUUCUAUUAACUGUUCAUCGAUUUCACAAAAUUAAUGCUGAGUCUCCUAGGCAAGUGUAUAAAAAAAAUUAAAAUAAAACAAAGACACAAAAGGGCCCCUUCCUCAACGUCACCCACUAAACCACGAACGCGGGAACCCAUAAUUUCAUUUUAUUCAUUUUCACAGCCGUCGUCGGUCGUGCCUCCCUCUUCCCCUCUUCAUUCAUCUCUUUCCACUUCUCCACGAACUUUUCAAAUCCACUCUCCUUUCAAUCAAUCUUCUCCCCCCCCCUCCUUUCGUGCAUCGCGACGAGCUUUACUACUAUGACUUCUUCCUCGAACUCAUCCUCCGCCGUCAGAUCGUCGGCGAAACACGCGGCUGACCGGAUUCAGCAGCACCUGCCUCCCAGCAACCCCGCGUCCCUCUCUUCGUCUUCCUUGAACUUACCCUCUAAGACCUCUAUCGCCGCUUCGAUUAACCACCACUCUCCUCGCCCUAAAGAUCGACCUUCCUCCACCGCCUCCUCCGUCUCCGCCGCUUCUCCUUCUACUCGCCGCUCCGGCACCCCCGUCCACCGAUCUCAGUCUAAAGACUUCGACGACGACAACGGUAUCUCCCCCUUCCUCUCUCUCUCUCUCUACUUCGUGUAUUAUCCGUACGAUUCUCCAUUUGCGUUAACGGAUUUGAUGACUCUUCACUCUAGGGCGAUUGUAUACUCGAUUUGGGGAUUAGGAUUGUUAGUGAUGAUCGUUGAUUUUGAUUUUGAGUUUAAGUUGAUUGGUCAUAUGGUGAAUUGGAACUUCGAUAUUGAGUUUGAAUUUCAAAUUGUUAUAUUCUCUACAGAUCCAGGGAGGGUGAGAGUUUCUGUAAGAGUUCGACCUCGUAACGGAGAGGAGCUUAAAUCAGAUGCUGACUUUGCUGAUCUUGUUGAGUUACAACCUGAGGUCAGUCACUAUGCCUUUCUCCCUCUCUUAAGUUAUAGUUAGAUCCUUAGAAAGUGCUCUUUUGUUUUGUUUUCUCUACAGAUAAAGCGGCUUAAGUUGAGGAAAAACAAUUGGAACUCUGAGUCCUAUAGAUUUGACGAAGUCUUUACAGACACAGCUUCUCAGAAACGCGUUUAUGAAGGAGUAGCAAAACCUGUAGUCGAGGUUAGAAAAUCAUUCUAUUCUUGAUGUAGAAUCUUUGAGGAUGAGAUUUUAUUUUCGAUAUUCAUUACUGCAUUCGUUCUGUAGGGUGUUCUGAGUGGAUACAAUGGCACAAUCAUGGCUUAUGGUCAAACUGGCACGGGUAAGACUUACACCGUGGGAAAAAUUGGUAAAGAUGAUGCAGCUGAGCGUGGUAUCAUGGUUCGAGCUCUUGAGGAUAUACUUGCCAGCGCGUCCUCUGCUUCUUCUGUUUCAGUGGAGAUCUCUUAUUUGCAGGUGUGACACUAUAGAUCUUCUGCGUUGAUCUCUUUUUCAUUUAUAGCAUGACUUCAAUGCUUAGACCAUACAUGCCUAACAUCUAUGUUGCUCUUCUUGUAAUUCACAGCUUUAUAUGGAGACUAUACAAGAUCUUCUUGCACCUGAGAAAAGCAACAUUUCAAUCAAUGAGGAUGGGAAGACUGGGGAAGUAUCAGUACCAGGUGCAACAGUAGUUAACAUUCAAGAUCUAGACCAUUUCUUUCAAGUUUUGCAAGUCGGUGAGACAAACCGCCAUGCGGCGAAUACAAAGAUGAAUACAGAAUCCUCACGUAGCCAUGCCAUUCUUACGGUGUGUAACACCUUAGAAUAUUUGGUCUUUUAUGGUUCUUGGUCAUUAAAAGUAGUCCAUGUUUUGGAUUAAUGAAAUGUAUCUUCUAUGCAGGUUUACGUUAGGCGGGCUAUGAAUGAAAAGGCUGAAACAGGAACUAAAUCGCCAAAACCUGAAUCUUUGGGAGAUAAAGGCAUUCCAAGAGUUAGAAAGAGUAAACUUCUAAUUGUGGAUCUUGCUGGCUCAGAAAGAAUAAAUAAAUCUGGUUUGAACUCAUUCCCUGUUCAUAUAACCACCAUUCAUUUCAUAUCAAGUAGGUUAUGACUGAGUUAUAUCCUGUUUUUUAUUAAGGCACUGAUGGCCACUUGAUUGAAGAGGCGAAAUUCAUUAAUCUUUCACUGACAUCUCUGGGAAAGUGCAUAAAUGCAUUAGCUGAAGGCAGUUCUCAUAUACCGACUAGAGAUUCUAAGCUAACAAGGCUUCUUCGUGAUUCUUUCGGGGGUUAGUUUACCAGAACUUUCUUGAGCCAUUUAUAAAAACACAAAGCGUGGCUCACUUCUGUGUGCCUUCUACAUUUUUCAUGUUUUUCCAGUUAAGCUUGUGCCUAUUACAUAAAUUUUGAAAUUGUUCUUUUUUCGGCACUGAUCAAAUAGGUUCUGCAAGGACUUCACUUAUAAUAACUAUUGGGCCGUCUGCACGGUAUCAUGCAGAGACAACUAGCACAAUAAUGUUCGGACAAAGGGUCAGUUUCAUGUUUCUGUUGAUCCAUGAUUCUAUCUAUAUCUGCAGAAUCGUAAACUGAGAAAGACACAGUUUUCUGAUAUUUUAAAGACACAGUUUUCGAGUAAUGCCUUGUUGGUUUUGUCUCACUUUUACAGGCAAUGAAAAUAGUAAACAUGGUAAAGCUUAAAGAAGAAUUCGAUUAUGAAAGUUUGUGUCGGAAGCUUGAGACUCAGGUGGACCAUCUUACUGCAGAAGUUGAAAGACAAACCAAACUAAGAAAUAGUGAGAAGCUCGAGUUGGAGAAAAGAUUGAGAGAAUGUGAAAACACUUUCGCUGAAGCAGAAAAGAACGCGGCAAGGUCCAAGGUAUUUGUCUCUUGUAAUGAUUGGCUACUAUUUUCUUUAUAUUGAACUAUUGUCUAGUUUCUUGAUAUGAUGCCUAUUUUACUAUUAUCCGGUGCUUAUAUUUUGAGGGGUGAAUCUGAAUUACAGUUCCUGGAGAAGGAAAAUGCCCGCUUGGAGCUUCGUAUGAAAGAACUAUUGAAGGAUUUGGAAAUGCAGAAAGAUCAGUGUGAUCUAAUGCGUGACAAAGCCACACAAUUGGAGAUGAACUUGAAAAAUACAAAGGUACACUUUCUAUCAUAUGUUCGUAGUUCUCUCAGCAACUACUUAGAAUAUAUUAUUAGUUGACUACUCUCUUUCUUUUGAUCUUUAUUUAACUACUCACAGAAGCUCUUGGUUGUUUUCUCACUAUUAAGAUAAAUUUUAAGCAGUGUCUUCUUUUGUAGUUGUGUAUGUAUAAUUUAACAGGCUCUGACAUUGUCAUUUUACUUGUUAGUAGCAGCAACAACUGGAAAGUUCGGCAUAUAAGGAAAAACUUGCAGAUGCCAGUAAAGUAUACGAGACAAAAAUUGCUGUUUUGGUUCAGCGGGUUGAGGAUGAACAAGCCCGGUCAACAAAUGCCGAGCAUCAAUUGAACGAAAUGAAAAAUAUUUUGAGUAAUCAGCAGAAGUCUAUUCAUGUUAGUUAAAACUCCUUUAAAAAAAAUUUGAAUGCAUUAGUCUUGUGUUCAAACUAAUGUUUUUUUUGGGUGUUCUAGGACCAAGAGAUGGGCAACUAUCAAUAUCAAAGGGAACUUGCGGAAGCCACUUACACGUAUGAAUCUAAAAUCGCGGAGCUCCAGAAGAAAUUGGAAGAUGAACAUGCUCGGUCUAACUCUGCAGAGGAGCAACUUAGACAGAUGAAAAGUAUUAUAAGCGAUCGCCAAGUUUUAUCACAGGUUAUUGGCGUAUUCUUGAUUUUUUGAAACUGGAUUUUAAUAAGAACGAUACUUUCAGCUUUAUGUUUCUGUCUUUUUUAUCUUUUCAGCAAUGAUAAAUUCUACUCUUGCAGAACUUUCUGUCUCCAACUUUGUUUUUUUUUUUUUCUGGUUUUGGUUUCAGGAAAAUGAAAAGACAAACGAACUCAAGAAAAAACUAGAAGAACUUUCACAGAUGUAUGAGUCGACAGUAGAUGAACUCCAGACAGUGAAAUUAGACUAUGAUGAUCUGCUCCACCAAAAGGUGUGACCCCUAAACAUCUGCUUACAGAAAGAAUAUCAAACAAUUAAGAGUUGGUCAUAUUAAUUUAAAACAUCCAACUGUUGAUUUUCGCUGAUGAAUACACAUUAAAAUUUGUUUGACAUAGGAAAAACUUGGUGAAGAGGUCCGGGAUAUGAAGGAAAGGCUUCUUUUGGAAGAAAAGCAGAGAAAACAAAUGGAGAGUGAGCUUUCCAAACUAAAAAAGAAUCUAAGGGAAAGUGAAACUGUUGUUGAGGUGAAUUUAGAAUGAGCUUGUUUCACCUUUUUCAACAUGUACUUGUACUUCAUGGUCUUGCUAAGUCCAUUUCUAUUUCACAGGACAAGCGUGUGAAGGAAGAUCUUCCAAAAGGACCAUCAGAAUCUGGAGCUCUACCAGGCUCACAGAGAUCUCAUGGGUUAAAAAAGUCUCUAUCUGGACAGAGAGCUACCAUGGCAAGACUUUGUGAAGAAGGCAUGAUUCUUUCUCGUUAGUUUAGCUCGAUUUUAUUCUGGGAUAAUCCAAUUGACAUCUUCGUUUCUACUUCGGUUUCAGUGGGAGUCCAGAAGAUAUUACACCUGAUUAAGUCCGAAGACUUGGAAGUUCAAAUCCAAGCCGUUAAGGUGGUGGCUAAUCUGGCCGCUGAAGGUGUGUGAUUUCAUCGCUCUAUAUAUUAGCAUGUGUCAGUAGCCUCAAAUUUAUAUUCCUCUCUACUGUUACAAUACUGACUUUAUCUUUGUAUAUCAUGUGUCCUUGUACCUAAACGACUUGCAUUCUCUGUGUGUAUGUGUUUAGAAUCUAAUCAGGUCAAGAUUGUGGAGGAAGGCGGUGUGGAAGCUUUGCUUACGCUUGUUCAGUCAUCUCAAAAUUCAACAAUUCUUAGAGUGGCUUCUGGUGCAAUAGCUAAUUUGGCAAUGAACGGUAAGAACUUCUAUUGGUAGUUCAAGUAAUUUUUAUGUUAUUGUUGUCCACAAACCCGUUUAAACUUACUACUAAAAAGCAGUGCCAAUUUAGACUUUAAAAGUGGUCUCAUGUGGUUGUGUCAUUUAUUUACAAUGCUGGUUUGCUUGAAUGUUGAAUCUGCAAGUUGAAUUAGAUGGUUCGUGAUGCCAUGCUUCAAUAAUAUGGUUUCUUUUAUUAAUUGCAGAGAAGAGUCAAGAUUUAAUAAUGAAUAAAGGAGGUGCUCAACUGCUAGCAAAGAUGGUGACCAAAACAGAUGAUCCACAAACUCUAAGAAUGGUAGCUGGUGCACUUGCCAAUUUAUGUGGAAACGGUGAGCACAAGAUUUUCAAACGCAUCUACUCGUCUGCACUGUAUAGCAUAUGCAAAAUCCAAUAUAUUUGGUGAAGCUUUUUGCUGGGAUGAUAAGUAUGUAUUUAACUCGUACAUGUUGCUGUCUAUUGCACAAACAGAGAAGUUUCUUAAGCUCCUGAAAGAAGAGGAAGGUAUCAAGGGACUACUCACAAUGGCGCAGUCCGGAAACAUAGACAUCAUAGCUCAAGUGGCAAGAGGGAUGGCAAAUUUUGCAAAAUGUGAAACUCGCGAAAUCAUGCAAGGUUUGUUGUAAUACAGAGAUACCUCAUAAAAAAAUGCAGAUCCAAGUCAAUUUUGCUAAUAUACGUUGAGUGAUCAUAUGCAUCGCAGGGCGUAGAAAAGGUCGUUCUCUUCUUCUGGAAGAAGGUGCUCUUGAAUGGCUGACUUCAAACUCACAUAUUGAAUCCGCAUCAACACAACGUCACAUCGAGCUUGCGCUUUGCCAUUUAGCUCAAAAUGGUAAGCCUAUAUUGUGUUGAGUAAAACUGAUUUCACAUGUCUCUCACUCUCUAGAGCAGGCCCAGCUUAUAUGCAUACCUCCUCUUAUUUGAUACAGAGGCAAACGCGAUUGAUUUCAAAAGAACGGGAAGCGUGACAGAGAUCGUGAGAAUAUCAGUGGAGUCGAGUAGAGAUGACAUUCGCAGCUUAGCAAAGAAGAUACUCAGAUCAAACCCUCACUUCUCAAACUGAACAUGAAGUAACAGCAAGAGAUGUACAUAAACAUAACUGGCGAGCUGAGUCUGAAACUAAGAUUAUGUCCUGUGAUCAUUUAUAUGAUGUUGUAUCCUGUCUCCGUUGAACGUGGACUCCGUUGCUAAUUUUCCUGAACAGUUUCUUGAUCAUUUUUUGCUACAAAUCUGUAGUGAAUACUCCUUAUGGUUUGAAAUUUGAUAUGGCCAAGCUCUCCUAUGUAUGAUUGAUGUUGGGAAACAUGGAGUAGAUGGAUCAAACUCAUGUCUCCUCGCUGAUGUUGUGUUUUGCAUUAAAGUAACAAGACUUAUUUGGAAUCAGUUUUGUUCUCAUUUAACAAUCAUACAAGUGUUACAAAUGGAGUAUGUGAGUGGUCACAAAAGAUAGUUUUAAGAGUAGAUGUUUUCGUAACUCCUAAUGAUUUUAAUUGAAUCUCUUUUUCUUUGUUCUUUUGUCGAUGUGAUGGCAUUGUUAGAUUCUUCUUCUAAUCGUAAAGGCCUUCGUCAUACCAUAUAUCGACCAGAAAGUCCACCAUCUCCUACACAAACAUCAGAUUGGACAAAUUCAGUUAUUUGAGAAUGAUUUUUUAGCUUCUUUGAAUAAAUGAGAGAUUAGAUCAAAAGCUUACGGGUAAAGGAAUCGACUCAGAGAAAGGUUCAUGAGUUGAGAGAAGAUCUUCAUAUGUAGUGGACCAACUACAAGAGAUUCAAGAUUAUGUUAAAGAGUAUACAUCACUAGAAUAUUAAUAAAACACAACAAGAGAAACAUAGAUCUCAUUGUUAAAAUAACCUUAUAAUCUGAUCCUUUGUAGUCUUUUUUCUUUGUCGAGAUUGAUCUCCCACCCAUUUUUCUCUGUUCUCUUGCCACACCUUUACACCUGCAACCAAUAAGAUGCUUAAGAACAAAUAGUCUCAAAUUACAGAACCAACAAAUUAUAAUCUCUUAUGGUUGCUCUUAUAAUAUCUUUGUUAAGCUAGUUGUGAAAAAUGUACCAUGAUUUACAGGUGUAAUGGUGUUUUCAGUGUUCUUUUUAACCGAGCUUUUAUCUUCUAUGACCAGUUUUGAAAGCUCAAGAGGUUUGUUUUCCGUGGACAGACAAUUUGCAGUAAAAAGCUCCAUUGUUGUGAUUCAAUCGAAUGAUCAUUCCUUUGCGAAAUAAAUUUGAUUAUACGAACAUUCAACAAAGAAUAUCAAAGGUUCCCACACAAGCUGCUAGAAACACAAACAUUAUAUUAAAACCAUAUUCAUCAUGAAACUAUUACAGGAAAGAGGUUGGGUUUAGUUUUACCUCAUUGACAUUUUCAUCAAUCAGCUUGUGGGAAAACCUAAAAGAAAAGAUUAAAUAAACAAGAAUACCAGAUUCCUCAGAAAAAUAUCAAUUCAUUAUCAAAGGAUGAAAAUUCAAUACAAAACCAAAAAAAAAAAAAAAAAGAUUGAUUGUUUCACAUUGCCGUUCAUAUUCAUUACCAAAUCUUCAUCUAUAAAGCAACACAAAGAGUAUAUCUUUAAAUGUACACCUACUUCUGUUUCCUUAAGAAAGAUCAUUUUGGAACAUAAUGUAUUCAAGAUCCAAUCAGAAGCAUUCAAGAUCCAAUUAUUAUCUUAUGGAUAAGCUAAAGUUCUUUAGAGAAACAGAACAUUUACAGGAAACAAGAACAGAGGAAAGAGGAUUUACCUACCUAAAUGAGGACGUACCCAGCAGAAAAUUUGGUGGGAGGAUUGAAACUUGUUUUCUUUUAGGUUUAUAUGUAAAUGAAAUGUUAGAUCUUGAUGAGCCAAUUAAAAUGAACUAAAAAUAAAGUUAAAAAGGAAUAAUAGCCAAAAAUAGGAGAGAAUAAAAAGGAAUUAAAGUGUUUACUUUGUUGGUAGAUGAGUAGUAAUAAUAAUAAAAUGAUCUAUAUCCACCACCACUAUCCAGAUCUGUUUUGGGUCAAUGAGACAGAAAAAUUGAAGUAAGGCCCACGCAUCUGAUAAAACAACACAGCUUUCUCUUUCAAUCAUACGUGGAUGUGAUUAGGAAAAAGAUAAUAUAUCAUCAUUUACUAUAUGGUAAGAGAAUUAUAAUGAAAUUUUGUCACAUGUUUUAAUCAUAUUAUUAUUAUAUUUACAAUUCUACAUACACUACUUUGAUUUUUCCUCAGAUUUUAUCUCGAGAUGACUGACCAUAUCAAAUCUAUACUAUACUAAAAGAGGAUAUAAGCCCCUCUUAGAGUGUCCACGUAGGCACAAAAAAUCGUCCAAUCAGAGAGUCCAAAAUUGCCAUGUCAUCUCAUUUAUUUUUUCGUAAAAAAUGAAAAAACAAUGCAAAGGAGAAGAUCGAACCCGGGUUAGUAUGACAUAAAUAUAGGGCAUAUACCACUAAGCUAUUGAAACUUUCUUGGACACAUAUACAAGAAUUACUAAAUAUGUAAUCACAAACUCUUAUGUACAUUUACAAUAAUAUGGAUUCAACUUUCAAAACUCCGAUACUUUGUUUUGUAAAAUAAAAAAAAGUAAGUGACUAAGCUAAUAUAUUCUUUGAAAGUGUGAGAACAUUGACAAAUAUGAAAAAACAUAGAUUUUUGUUUUCGUGACAAAGUUAAGAAUUUUGUAAAAGUAAGUUUAACAUAUAAAUUUCCGUGACAAAUAUGAAAAAGCAUAGAUUUUGUACAAUUUUAACAAAAGAACUCAAAACAUAGUUCUCUAAUGACUUAAUAAAAUAUUAUUUAAGGGUGCAAUAAUUAAAUAUAUCAAUUCACUAAAUUUUGUAAUUUAUAGACAAAACAAUAACACAACAAAUUUUGAAACAUUUGUUUAACCUAUCGAUUUAUUUUCAUGAGAAUCCAACUAAACAAGAUAAAAAAACAAUUAGAUUUAUUUAAUUACAAUUUUAUUCAAUUUUGAAUAAUUUCAAAUUGUACUAAUGUAUCUUUUUGAAGUUACAAAAAAUAAUGUUCUUUCUUUAUUACACUAGCAUUAUAUAUAGAUUCCAUAUACACAAAUAAAUAUAAUAUAACAACAUAAGCUUGCUUUCCCCGAUUCAUAUGAAAACUUUUUAAGUUAUCCACCAAACCAAAUUAAUUAAAUCAAUAAAAUUGUUAGAAUACAAAAAGUUAAUAUAUAAUUUUAUUUUAAAUUAAAUUAAUAAAAAGUGUAUUUUCAUUAAAAACAAAAUAAUAAAUAAGUAAAACUGAUUUGAUGGUAAUUUUUAUGACAUAUAUAUAUAUAUUAUGUGAAAGAAAUAUAAGCUUAAUAUGGAAAAAAAUCUUAAAUACAAAAAACUCUAAAAUUAACAAAAAAAAUUAAUAAAAAUUAAACUAUGAUAUCAAUUGAAAGCUUCUUAGACAAUAUUAAUAAAAUAUUUAAGCGCUAAUUAGAUAAAUUUGAUUUUUUUGCUAGCCAAAAGUUUAUUAUAAUUAGCAUCAGUUAUUUCAAGAUAUUUAAGAAAUGAUAGACUUAAAUGAUAUAUCAUUUGCACAUCAUUUCCAGUUUUUUUAUGCAUAGAUUCAAUUUAUUCAGAGCAGUUAUUCCACAAAGAGAUCGUAUGAGAUAUUAUUUUGAUAUUCAGAUUUGUUUCUUGACUGUUAAGAAGAUUGAUAACUGUAAAAAUAUCACCUUCGAAUAUUAUAUGUCUAUAACCGAAUCCCCAACAUGAGACAACUUAGUUUAAAAAGUAAAUAAUUUCAUUUUUCUUAUAUUAUAUAAUAAAUAUAUAUUAUUUACUGUUAACAAAAAUAUAGUUAUUCAUCUAUCACAAAUAUCUAUGGAAAUAUGUGAAUUAAGUACAACAAUCAAACAACAUAAUAAUUUCCACAAAAAAAAUUGAAAAAAUAUAUUUAUGUUAGGUAGUCUUAUUUUAUAUUCUUUAAAUAAUGUAAUACAAUAUUAUACAUUAUUUUUUUAGAAUUGAGAAAUACAUAUAUAUUAGUUAGAUAAAUUAAGCGAUAAUUAGACAAAUUUGAUUUUUUUUCGAGCCAAAAGUUUAUUAUUAAUUAGCAUCAGUUAUUUCAAGAUGUUUAAGAAAGGAUAGACAAAAAAAUAGGAUGGACAUAAAUGAUAUAUGAACUAUGAAUAGUAUUUUGUAAAGCUGACUUAGAUAACACAUCUGCACAUCUAUUUCCAGUCCUUUUUGAUGUCUAAAUUCAAUUUCUUCAGAGCAGUUAUUCCACAAAAAGAUCGUAUGAGAUAUUGUUGUGAUAUUCAGAUUUGUUUUUUGACUGUUAAGAAGAUUGAUAACUGUAAAAUAUCUCAUUCGAAUAUGAUAUGUCUAUAACUGAGUCUACAACAUGAGACAAGUUUGUUUUAAAAGUAAAUAAUUUUAUUUUUCUUAUAUUAUAUAAUAAAUAGAUAUUAUUUACUGAUAAUAAAAAUAUUGUUAUUCAUCUAUCACAAAUAACUAUGCAAAUAUGUGAAUCAAGUACAACAAUCAAACAACAUAAUGAUUUCCACAAAGAAAUUUUUAAAAAUAUAUUUAUGUUAUGUAGUCUUAUUUUAUAUUCUUUAAAUAAUGUAAUACAAUAUUAUACAUUAUUUUUUAAAAUUUAGAAAUACAUCUAAUAUCUUAUCCGCGCGUAGCGCGGUUAAAAAAUCUAGUUAUCAAUAAUCAAGAUAGAUAACAUGUUUGCGUGUUUGGUUUACCAUUCUUGAUUUUGCUUUUUUCUUCUUCUUAUCAUAAUUGCGUUAACCUAGAUUAAGUGUUUUAAGAGUAAUAUUUAUGUCUUAUGAUGAUGAUAAUGAUAUUGAAAUUGUAGUCAUUUGCAUUAUCGGUAAUCUUACACCACAUUGGCGCUGACAAACACAAAAGAAACAGACUUUUUCUCUCUCAAUUUGGUUACAUAUUCUAUUCCAUACUGUAAAAGUUUUAAAACCCUGUUAGUGUUAAGAUUUCAAUCAAUAUCAACCACUUACUGGUAUGAUUCUCUCGUUCGUUUAUUUCCUUGUUGCUUAGCUUUGUAUUUUUCGGUUUAGGAAACUAGAUCGUAUUGCUUUGGUAUAUAACAGUGUAAAGACCUAAAUAUGAAUUGAUAUGAUAAAUCCUUAUCUGAUUCUUCUAUAGAACCAAAAGAAACAAAUCCUUAUCCGAUUCUUCUUCUAAAAGAUAUGCAAGAAGAUCAAAAUACCAUUAAAAUAAAAAACAGAUCUUUUAAUCGGAAGAAGAGGUUUGUGGCAGAAACAAACCAGAAUCAUGGACGUUAUGGAAAAUAAACAUUCUCAAAGGAACUAGAGGUUGUGGAGACGCAUUUUCAAAAGUAGAAAAAAUACACGAAAUAAGUGUGGGCCUUAGUUUGAAAGGAAGAAUGUGAGAUAUCAGACAAAUCAUACAUUGACAUUUAGACAAAUGAAAGUCUAGUAUAUAAAAAAUAUUCAACUCUAAUUAGUACGAAACCUUUUGGAAAGAAAAUCAAAAAUAAAACCACGCGAGUUUGCUUAAAGCCCAAAAUGAACGAUAUCGUACUAACCAGACAAUACAUAGUUGGACAUGGAUUCAAUAAAUCCCAACUAAAAUAAUAUUAACAACUUAAACUCAAUUAUUAAUCAGGUAAAUUACUUGUGUCUUGUGUGAGUUGGUUAAUAAUAUAUAUCUAAGUUGGUAAAACAAAUAAAAGUGUAUCAUCAUCUCAUUUAUUAAAGAAGUUAGAAAUCUUAAUUAAAAGUUAUGAACUAUCAACAAGACAACAAGUCAAUUUUUUUCUUCUGUAAUGGAAGUAUAAAAUAUGUGAAUAUUUACCAAAACUCAAAGCCUCAAAGUCUGACAAUCUAAAUGAUGUAAAUUUUGUUAAGUCACAUAUCGGUUCGUAAACCGAUUCAAAAGGUUUAAUCACAUAGAAUUCAAGCUCACACGAAGCAAUAGAUCACCAAGACAAAACAAAGGUUUCAGACAAUCUGUCUUUCAUUACAGAGAGUUUUGAUACACAUAAAGCUCAUAGGACACAUUACUAUCUUUUCUUUACAAAGUCACUAGUUCAAAGGGAUAACAAUAUCGCCAAUGUUUUUGUGCCAUGGAUCCG
rnacentral:lncRNA from 1 species